AGUUGUUAAAGGAUACGAUAUGGGAAGGUUGAGCUGCUGUUUAUCUGUUCCUAGAGAUGCUAGAAUUCUGGAGAAUUUUAUCUUUGAAAAUCUUUAAAAUAUUACAUGAUGAGUUCCUAUAUGAUGAGAGUUUAAAUUCCUACCACAGCCAUACAUACAUGCUUGCUAGACUUUGAGCCACACAUUUACUAUUUUCUGCUUAUGAGCAUUGAGUGUGGUCAAGCUGUGUAGAUCCUUAGGAGCUUGUCAUGUGGUUAAAUUAAGAUUCACUUGCACGUUCACUCACACAUGCUGCUUCUACUCCAGAAGUACCAUCCACAUAUAUCCACUCAUUUCCAUCUCGAGAACCACCCAAAAAUAUUCUACUCCUAAUCCAGGAGAGAAUAGCCAAAAAUAUUUCAGUUUUUCCCCUUGUGAAAUAAAUACUCAAGUUAUCUUGUUACUACCACUUGCUAUAUUAUCUCAAGAGAUGAGUGCUCUAAAAUAAAAAAAGAGAUACGAGGAAAUAAAAAGGGGCAAGUGCCUGGAACCUCGAAAGAAAAGAAAAGUGAGACGAGAGGUAAAAAUGGACAAGUGUCCGACAGUAGAAUUUGGGGUACAAGAUACCCACCUGAGAGGAAAGAAAAAGAAAAAGAAGAGCAUCUCAUUCUCCUUAUAAAGUUUCAUAUAGCAAGGAAGGUAUGUAUCCCCUCAAAAGAGCAAAAGUAGAAUUAGACUUUCACCAUUGUUAUCACCAUCAUCACCAUACACCAUUCAUUUGCCACACAUGCACAUCUUGACUUGGCUUAUUGAUUUGUUUCUUUGGAUCCAUGGUUUGACUAUGCAAUAAAUGUCUUGUAAGUAUGUAUACUUUAUCUCCCACCUAUGAGCUCCAGAUAUUAAAGCUUUAUUAGAGUAGGGUGAGAGAGAAGGCGAUGUCACUAUGCCUUAUACCACAAAGACUACAUAUUUUGAGAGAAGGCAUAUACCAUCACUGCCUUGGUAAGGAUCUAGAAAUACCACAAAAGAGAGAUAUGAGAGAGUCAUACAAGGAAUCUCUGAGUUUUAUUUGAAAAUCUGCAAAAAACUCCAGAGCUAUAGCUGAUUAAGAAUAAUAGACAUGGCACUUGAUUAGACUGUUCUAUCUUUUAACUACUCAGUACAGAAGUGACGGUUACAAGUCCCAUGGUGAAAGGUAAAGUAAGUAAGUUUUAAGUCUUGACAGUUUACUCUAAAUCAGAGAUGAGAUCUCAUUUAAAAGCAUGUGUACCGUCAAAUUUUUAAAGGUAUUGCAACAACUUAUGAUCCAUAGCUGAGUCUAUCCUUGCUCAGGGACGAGCAAGAGGUAAGCUUGGGGGAGUUUGUUGACGGUCCUUAAGUAUCAAAUUUAAUUAUAAAAUAAACAAAGAAAAGGAUCCAAACGAAAUCAACAUCCAGACUUAGGGUUUUAUUUGACAGAAUUCCACGAGUUUUGGUGUUUGUCUAUUUCUGCAGGGGGCUAUCUGGAAAUACGGAAGAAAGGCCCACACGUCGGGAUUACAUAGAGAUAUCAAUGUCCCGCGCAAUUAUCUUACAUUAGAAGACUCCAGAAGCCACGGGAAGGAAGCGGAGGCCGAACGGGGCCAGGCACUGGGCGCCCGCCCCCUGUUGGAGUCCAAACAGGACUCUCUUUCGGGAAAGAUCUCCACCGACCUAAAGGAUCAAGGAUAACUGUUCAAUCAAUGUCUGUUUGAUCCAACGUCCCAUAUUCACUUGAAGAGACUAUAAAACCAGACCCCCUGGCCCCUGGAGGAGGGAGCCUCUCAACCCUAAUUCAUUAUUCUUCAAGGGAGAAGAAGCCUCUGAUCAAGAUUAGAGCCACCACAUCAAUUAGAUAUCUAGAUUAGCAUAGCUACAUAGGAUUAGAACUAGAAGGAGUCAAUCUUCGAUUGGUUUCCGGAUCUGUCAAGAGGAUUCUUGGUAAUUCUCUAAUUGUGCUUCUAAUUGUUCUUCAAAUCAUCUUUGUUCUUCAAUACUUUGUUCUACUUCAAUAUAUUGCUUAUAUUCAAGAUUAUAUUGUUUUUAGUUUAUCAUAGUUAUAUACUUGGCUUAGUUAGAUUAGAUCUAUAUACAUGUUUAGGAUCGUAUAGCAUUUAUCCAUCGGAUCCAUGGGUAAAUGAUAGAUAUUGUGUAGGCUUGGUGCUUAUACCGUAUUUAUCUGCAAUUGUACCGAAUAUGCCAGAUUGUGGGGUAGUUCGUGAUAGUGACAGCUUCAUUGAUUCUUAUAUAGUCCCCCUCUCGUGUAUUGGGCUGGCAGAGCAACAUUAUUACAGGGGAGUGAUUGCUAUGUUUCUCAUUUACCUUGCUAAUAUCACUAUGCAUGGGCGUAGUCUUGUCUCGCAAUGAUUGCUAAGUAUGCUUGCACUAACUAUGAUAAUGCUAGACAAUAUAGUUGAGAAUAACUUAGGAAAUAUUCUUGUAGUUCGUUCUAAUACCAUGCUAAUGACUUUGUAGAGUAUCUAAUUGAGGUGCUUAACAUAUUUAUUAUGUGGCUAAGUUAUGAUCAGAUUAAUUAUCUUUGUCACUAUUCAUUACUUCAUAUAUCUUUUAUGUGACACUUACCUCUGUAUGAAAGAAUUAGAUACAAUGUUCUCAAUUAUAUAUGCAAUGAUAGAUACUCAAUCUCAUAUUCUAUUCUGUAAUCAAUAUUAAUGAUUGCUAAUCCCUUCCCAGUGGUAAAAAUAUAAAUAACGAUACCUGGAAUACUUCUCGGUUAAAAUGCUACAUCGGUAUUAAUCUGUGCGCUUGCAAAUCUCAUUCAUUAUUUAUUUAGAAGAGCAAUUGCAUAUUUCAAUACCGCAUCUCUCAUGUCAUGCUGGGGAUGACAACUUGGCUUAAGUGGUAUGAGAGAUAGGUUUGGCAUUUUUGGCACCGUUACUAGAAUUAGAAACUGUCUACUUUUGGUAAUGAUGUUAAGAAUACCCAACACUUGGUUGGGUGAAAGUCGGGCGAAGUUCACUAUUGAGAAACUAGCUAAAGGUGCACCAGACGCUACACUAGACGCACCCCCAGUGCGUCCGGUGUGGAGAGUCUCCUAGUCUGCAUUCACCGGACAUUCUUGUAGUUCGUUCUAAUACCAUGCUAAUGACUUUGUGAGGAGCGACCGGUGCUGCCUGAGGCGCGCCUUGAGGCACCGGACGCAAGGCGAGCGUCCGGUGAGCAUCGUUCGGUGCUCGCACGACUUUCAGACCCCUCUGUGUUUUAGUCAGGUGGGCACCGAACGCGUCCAGUGACCACUUAAGUGCGUCCGGUGCCCCCGCAAUCGGCGGAUAUAACACGAGCCUGCAGGCUCUCUCUCAGCCGGUUUAUUUUCUCUUCACACAAACCUCCAACUGCCUGAGCCCCGUGCCCUAGCUGCUGAGAAACCACCGCCGACGUGGUCUCCUCAAAGCUCCGGCGUCCUUCAGAUUCUCCGUGCCAGAUCCCCUCUAGGAUUCUUCCUCCUCCCUCCUCUACGCGCUGGGCCUCUUCUCGUGCAUAUUCUAGGGUUUUGGGGUGAGUUCUCUAACCCUUGCCCAUAAGGUGUUUGAUUCAAUGCUGUAAUGGAUUAGAUUAUUGUUUUUGAUGGUGAUCUCAUCUGUUCAACACUUGUAGCACCUUGUGGGGUUGGUUUGCAUUCUUCGGUGGAUUCUGAUCUUCAUCUUUCAUUUGGAACAUGUCUCAUCGAAGGAUUGUAAGCAGUUCGCGUCUGUUCUUAUCUAUCUCUUGCGAUCCUUAGGGCUUUCUCAUCUCUAGCUAUUAUCUAUGCUUAUGUAUAUCCUGCGUAUUCUAUGUCUUGCAGCACGUUGGUCUCUAGUUGACAAUUGUCAGUGGCAGUUGAACUCACGACCAAGCCCGCAAGUAUGGAUUGAGGCCAAGCCACAUGAGUUUCAGCUUUAUAGCUUUGGGAAGUGUUUCAGGGUUGUGUUCUUGCAAUGGCACGUUGCAAGUAUAUCAGUGGUCCGACAGCUGGCAGUGGUGGCACUUUAGGGGGCGAUGGGGGAGAUGACAGGCCCCGUCGUCUGACAACUGUAGAAAAGGGCAGAGGCAAGAAGGUAAUGACCAAGAAGAGGAAGGCUAAUGAUUGAGAGGUCGAGAUAGCAGAGGCAGUGGCAGCAACUGCAGAGGCAGCAGAGAAAGGUGGUCGCUCAAGUACUCUGCGGAUUGGAUCCGACCUGACGCUAGCCCAGAGGAGUGCAGUGCUUUAGGUAGAGCAGUGACACGGGACCCCUCCUGGCACCAUUAUGCUAGGAGGUCAUCGUGUCAGGAUCAACGUCACUGACCCAGGGAAGGAGGAGACCGAGUUAGAGGGUCAGGCAGAGCCCGCUGAGACAGAGGCUAAGGCUCAGGCAGCGGGUCAAACAGAGGUUCAGCAGGAGGAGUAGCCCCUUCGUCGGUCGACUCGUACUCAUACCCUGGCAGCUUCUAGGACUGGUACGCAGCAUUAGUCUUCUUUGAUGGUUCGCUCCACUACAGCUCGGGGCACUCCAGCUGCACGCCCAGCUCCAGCCAGGAUCCAUAAGGACUACACUCAUGCACCAACUCGUGAAAUCUAGGAGUUGAGGUUUGCACCUUUCUCCACUUGGUUUCCAGCAGCCAGAGAUCAGAGGGCACAUGCUAGGUUCUACACUAUCGUCCAAGAGGACAUGUACAUGGCAUUUGUCCAUGCCCAAACUCAGUUCAGGGAGCAUAGAGUGCUUGACCUUGAGAUACUAGGGAACGUAGUAGGUGCAGACAUCAGGCAGUACUUCACGUACCUACCAGGUCUCCUAGGUCUUCUUGCUUUGCCACACACCUAUGUCGAGGAGUGGGUCAGGGAGUUCUUUGCUUCAGUAUGGAUUGCUCCUGACCACAGCUAUAUCCACUAUGCAUUGGCAUGUAUAAAUUAUAGAAUGUCAGCACAGAGGGCUAGAGAGACUUGGGGGCUGAGAGCAUAUGACACCAAGAUACAUGAGCUGUGAUAUGGCAGGUUUGAGCCCCCUCAACGACCACAUGGUGGUGUGCUUCCCCCUGUUGACUUUGUCUCACCGUGCUUUCGUCAACCGUUUGGUGAGGGCUCCAGCAGGACAGUAAGAGAUCUUACCCGUCUAGCUCGGAUUCUAGACUUAUGAUGAGGAAGACACUUCUCCCCAGACCAGGCUACUGUGAUGGUUUCACCAGGAUACAACAGUGGUUGAUAGCCCACCUAAUUGCUCAAAGGCCGUUUGAUUUGUGGGACUUGAAUGUGUUAGAUAUAGAGGAUAAAGUGGCUGAGGGCUUCAGGGGUCGACGUCAGCUACCCUACGCACAUUGGAUCACCAUGCUCAUUCUUCAUGCUAGGGCACACCCUCUUCCACCUCAUAUCUAGAGGUAGCUGAUAGAGGCAGACAUAGUGUUCUCGCACUACGACCCCCGCUAGAUGUUGAGAGCCCAUGUGGAUAUUCGAGCUCUAGCACCUCCUCUAGCCCCACGUGGCCAGGUGCCACCACCUUCACCUAGGGCUGCCCACAGUUCAAUGGGAGUUCCAGAGACACGGAGGAGCAGGAUAUUGCUAUAGGGGCAGUAGAUGCUGAUGCCGAGCAGGAGAUAGACUUUGCUUCAGAUAGCUCGGAUGAUGAUUAUCAUCUUCCUAUCCUAGAUCUUCCUUCGAGGCAGCACGACCAUGAGGCAGGAGGCUCUUCUAGUGCCAUAGACCCUGCACUUCUUGCUAUUCUUGAGGGGAUGAGGGCAAGAUCAGCGGAGGGCAGCUGUGGAGCAGGCUAGGAGGGAUAGAGACCAGGCUGCCAAUGCAGCCAUGUAGGCUAGGCAGGAUGAACUUCAGAGACAGCUUCUGACUUUCCAGGAGCAGCAGCUAGCCUUCCAGGCUUAGCAGACAGCUAUGAUGGCCGCUCUCAUGGCCGCGACAGGGAUUCAGCUUCCACAGGUGUAGCUUCCAGGCACUUCUUCUGUCAGGCCACCGACUCUAGUGCUACAGCCCAGUGGGCUACAAAGUCAGUCUCAGCCGCCGCUCCAACUAUCUGCUCAGAGUCAGUCGUUCUCGAUUCUACAGCAUGAGGUUUCCAAGGGUGCGAUAUCUUCUGGAUUUGAGCAGGUACAUCAGUUCACACCUCUGCGAUCAGGGUUUACUCCUCAGUCUGCCAGUGCUUCCUAGCUUAUGCUGGACUCAUCGAUAGGGCAGGACAUCUCUUUAUCAUACAGUGCUCUGAAUGGUCAGCUGACUACACCGCCAUUGCAGGCUCUUGCACCUUUUACUCUACCAGUCACCACUAUAGAGUGCCUGUCAUCGUCAAUAGCAUCGUCCGAGCAGCUAGCACCUUCCUCUACAGUUCCUGAGACGUCAGCUACAGCUAUAGAGUUAGUGCCAGUAUCCUCAGCAGGUCUUGAGACUCCAGCACCCACUUAGGCAGCCACAGAGCCCAUAGAGUAGACCCAGACCGCUUCUCCAGCUCGUCUCAUUUCAGAGGGUCACUCCGCCUCCUCAGAGUCGACAGCAGAUGGCAUAGAUGAUGCAGCUCAGUUCGAGGCCGUGCCACGCGACUCCUUGUUGACACUUGCUAACACCACUUGAAUACUAGGUUGUCAUCCCCAACAUGGCACUAGAGUGUACUAUGGUAUUUAUCCGCACACAGAUAAAUCCACAAGCGCACGAAUACCGUUGUAUCUUUUACCCGGUUAAAGGUUUUAUCGUAUCCACAGGGAAAUGGGAGAACUCAUCUACACUCUAACUUAACCUAGAUAGAAAGAUGGUAGAAUAUAAGAACAAUAUUAAAGGUAAGAUAACAAUAGGUGAUAAUAUGGGAAUAGAGAGUAGAGCAAUCUAGUAUAUGGGCGAUGGUAGGAGAAUAUAGUGGAUAACUAUGGUUUCUCUACUUCAAAGGGGUAUGUCUAUGUCUGGGACGAACCACAUGAUAAGAAUACACCACAAAGGAUGCUUAUCCAUAGGCCGAUAAACCCUACCAGUCCUGCUAACGGGAGGUGGACUACAGUGGACCAACAUAGCUGUCACAUACGCGGCCUACCACACGAUCCGGCUAGACAGGGGAUAUCAACAAGUAAUCUAGGUCUAAGCACCACGCUUACACCUAUACUACAACUCUAACCUAUAGCGUCCUAUAGAUUAAAAGUACUAGAAAGAGUUACGAACCAGAACAUAUAUGGAUAGUAAUUGCAUAAUAAAAUAAGAAGUAGAUUACCAGAGUCAUCCCAUGAGCAAGCUUGAUUAGAGCUUGAUCAUGGCGAAGUACAACCGGAGGAAGAACCGACAGGCCGGCCUCUCCAAUCCUCCCUCACUCUCCAUCUCGCUACUAUCUAGAUCUACUCUAGUUUAGAGAAUAGAGGAGAGCUCUCAUCUCCAAACCCUAGCUUUUGCUCUGUCUAUGAAUAAUGAAUAGGGAUCAAGGGGUUGUCUCCUCCAGGGGCCAGGGGUCCUGCUUAUAUAGUCCCCUCAAGUGAACGUGGGCUGUCGGAUCAAACCAACCUUAAUCGCACGGUUUUCCUUGAUCCUUUAGGUCGGUAGAGCAUAAUCCACGAGACGGGACCUGAUUGGUCUUUGUAGCAGGGCGGGCGCCCAAGGGGGGAGGGCGGGCGCCCUGCCCCCGGGCCCGUUCAGCCUACCGUUCGUUCCCGUGGCUUCUGGAGUCUUCUAGAUGACAGAAAAUUGCACGGCACAUUAAUAUCUCUAUGUAAACCUGACAUGUGGGCCUUUCCUCCAUGUUUCCUGAUAACCCCCUGCAGAAAUAGAUAAACACCAAAACUCGUGGAAUUCUAUCAGAUAAAACCCUAAGUCUGGGUGUUGGUUGCAUUUGGAUCCUUUUCUUUAUUUAUUUGUUGAUUAUAUUUGGUACUUAAGGACCGUCAACAACUCCCCCAAGCUUACCUCUUGCUCGUCCCUGAGCAAGGAUGGACUCAAGAGUUUCUGCAGUGGUUUCAUGCCUUAAAGGUACACAUGCGUUUAAACAAGAUCUCAUCUUUGGGCUAGGGUAAACUAUUAAGAUUUAAAACAUACUCAUUUUACCUUUCACCAUGGGGCUUGUAACCGUCACUUGAAUCUUGAGCAGUUAAAAGAUAGAACGGUCAAGUCAAGCGCCAUUUCUCUUGUUCUUUGAUCAACUAUAGCUCUAGAGUUUUUGCAGAUUUUCAAAAAAAACUCAGAGAUUCCUUGUAUGACUCUCUCAAUUCUCUCUUUUGUGGUAUUUCUAGAUCCUUACUAAGGCAGUGAUGGCAUAUGCCUUCCCUCAAAGCAUGUGGUAUUUGUAGUAUGAGGCAUAGUGAUAUUGCCUUCUCUCUCAUCCUACUCUAAUAAGGCUUUGAUAUCUGGAGCUCAUAGGUGGGAGAUAAAGUAUACAUACUUACAAGACAUUUAUUGCAUAGUCAAACCAUGGAUCCAGAAGAAGUCAAUAAGUCAAAUCAAGAUGUGCUUGUGUGGCGAAUGAAUGGUGUAUGGUGAUGAUGGUGAUAACAAUGAUGAAAGCCUAAUUCUACUUUUGCUCUUUUGAGGGGAUACAUACCUUCCUUGCUUUCUAAAACUUUAUGAGGAGAAUGAGAUGCUCUUCUUUUUCUUUUUCUUUCCUCUCAGGUGGGUAUCUUGUACCCCAAAUUAUACUGUCGGACACUUGUCCAUUUUUUCCUCUCGUCUCACUUUUUCUUUUCUUUCGAGGUUCCGGGCACUUGCCGCUUUUUAUUUCCUCGUAUCUCUUUUUUUUAUUUUAGAGCACUCAUCUCUUGAGAUAAUAUAGCAAGUGGUAGUAACUAGAUAACUUGAGCAUUUAUUUCACAAGGGAAAAACAGAAAUAUUUUUGGCUAUUCUCUCCCGGAUGAGGAGUAGAAUAUUUUUGGGUGGUUCUGGAGAUGGAAAUGAGUGGAUAUAUGUGGUGAAAGUCUAAUUCUACUUUUGCUCUUUUGAGGGGAUACAUACCUUUCUUGCACUUUGAAGCUUUUUGAGGGGAACGAGAUGCUCUAUAUUUUCUUUUUCUUUUCUCUCAGGUGGGUGUCUUGUACCCCUAAUUCUAUUGUCGGACACUUGUCCAUUUUUUACCUCUUGUCACACAUUUUCUUUUCUUCGAGGUUUCGGGCACUUGCCUCUUUUUAUUUCCUCGUAUUUUUCUUUUUCUUCUUUUUUUAGAGCACUCACCCUCCUAGAAUAAUGUAGCAAGUGGUAGUAACCAAAAUAUCUCGAGCAUUUAUUUCACACGGAAAAACACGAAUGGGAUAAUGUUUUUGGCUAUUCUCUCCCGGAUAGGAGUAGAAUAAUUUUGGGUGAAUCUAGUCCUUAGGAGUGCCUCAGGGUCGGAGAUGUAGUUUUUCGGCAAAGAGAAACCAGGCAUACACUAUUCCUCCUGUUUCAUCCACAACAGGGAGAAAAUAGGCAGAGUUAUCCUACAUAACAAUUGACUCAUUACGCACAUCAGAUUACUUGAUUAUAUUAAUCUAGAAUCAUUUUCAUAUUAGCCUUCCCCGGCAACGGUGCCAGAAAUGCUUGUUGGCAUUUCUUAACGUCAUCACUAAGAACAGGGUUUAAUCCGUCCUUAGCAACGAUGUCAGAAAUGUCGUGAUAACACUUACUAAUGCAAUCACCAAGAUUAGAGUAUAAAUCUAUCCUAAGCAACGGUGCCAGAAAUGCUUGUUAGCGUUUCUUAGCGUCACUACCCAGAAUAGGGUUCUGCUCUACUCAUGAUAAUGACAUUGGCAGUGUUAUAUUGGCAGAUCCGUAGCAUCACCACCUUGAAUAGGAAACUAGAUCAACCUUCCCGAUAACGGCGCCUUAUUACCGUUAGGGUUGGGUUCCAGUUCUUAAUCAUGGCAGUGGCACUAGGAUUGCCAUGUUGGUAUUCCUUAACAAGUCACUACCUCAGCGCAUGUCUAGCAACAGUGUUAAGUAUAUACCGGGGUGAUAGUUCCUUAGGUUUGGAGUUCAAGUACCGCAAGCAGACGGGAAUUAUCGUGUAGCAUUUCAACCCGGGGAUUUACCGAGUGUCGUAUUUAUAGGUUCGCUCUAAGGAAGGCUUAAUAUGUUAAGGAUUCUAAGAUAAGCAUAGAUCAAAAUAAUUAUGAUAGCAAUAAUGGAAUCAAAGGUCAUAGCAGGUGAUAAACAUUUAUAUGUAGAAUAGUGAUCCAUCACAAUAUAGGCAUGGCAUAUGGGCUAAGGAAUAAAAAGAGACUAAAAGAAUGAAUUGAAUCAAAGAAUAAACAAACAACCUAUUGGAGCAGGUGUGGUCCUAGAUACAGAUCAUGUCAUAGAACAAGUUAAUCAUGUAAUUAUACUACUUAGAUAUAGUCCUAUGUUUAGAUGGUUUGGGAGGUUACGCGAGUACUGGUCUGCCAGCAACCUCCGCAACUAUUUAGACUCCUACACCACCUGCCACCAUCCCCUCAACCGUGGACUAGGACAAUGCAUUUACCCGGCCUUUACACCCAAGCACCAUGCUUACAUGCAAAGAACCUACUCGGACUCCCCCGGGUCCCCGACCCUACGGAUCGACCGGUAAUAAGCCCAAGCCUAAUCAAAAGAGCAUGAUAAACCCCCAUCUUCACACAAAGCUAUUUCUAGGCAAUUUAUUAACAUGAAGCAAUUAGACUAAAGUCCUAAGUGAGAAUAAUACAACAUACACUUAGCACUAGUUCAUAUAAUACACUACUAGCCCUAGGGUAGCAUUAUACUAUAAGAACUAUAUACUAAAAUGUAUAUCAUAUCAUUUCUACUAGAACUAUAUUCUAGUUCAUAUGCUAGCAUCAUAAAACAUGGCCUAUGAUCUAUAUCAUAUACCAUAGCAUAAGAACUAUACUCUAGUUCAUAUGAAGAACUAUAUCGGACAUGAUAAGGCAUGGACUUGGAGUAAAGAUAUUCUUUAUUCAUACCCAAGUUUCUCUCCAAGGAGCCAAGCCCUCCUUGAUAGCUCACCGAACUCUUUCUCUAAAAGCUAAAAUGAAAAACUAAGAAGAGGUAGUGCCCAAGUGCCUUGAAGGUGGAGUGUUGAUUAUGAAUGUGAUGAGAUGAAUGGAGCCUCCCUCUCCCCCUCCUUAAAUAGGUGGGGAAGGUCGGUUCCCCAGGGUGUAAACUGCAAUUUGCACGCAGGGACUACAGGAGGAUAGGCUCAGCACCGCCUCUGCGAAAGGCGGUGCCGAGAUGGGCUGGGUCAGGGUCGGCCGACCCUAGGGGGCGGCCGCCCCCUGGUGGGCCCCGCUGGCCCGGCCCGAAACCCGUUGCCUUCCUCUUGGGCCCCUGAGUCCAGAUCCACCUGCAAAUUGAUGCACUUUUAUAUUGGGCUUUUGGGUACUUGUUUAUUUGCGCAUUUUUUGACGUGUCAUAUUGCGCCUUUUUAUUUGCUUUCCACCUGUAUGCACGUAUAUGAUCUGCAAAACACAACUUGCACUACAUGUGGAACUUGGUAAGCAUUUAAUAAGUAUAUGUGAGUAAAAUACAUGCUUUUCUUCCUUUGCAUGGACUAUGUUGGCGGGGGGAAUAUGUCAUUAAGAACCGCCAACAAACUCCCCCAAACUUACCCCUUGCUCGUCCUCGAGCAAGAAGCUAAGAUCUUGGUUGUUGAUAAGGAGUUGCUACAAUAUUUUCACUUCUAUCUAGUACAUACCUUCAAACAAGAAUUCUCCUUUGAAUUUUGAACAGAUAUGUCAUGGGGCUUAUUGCUCAUACCAUGGGUCCUUAAGCAUUUGCAGGAUGGAUUUGAUCAGAUCGAGCGCUAUGUCCCCAAUUCUACUGUUGGGCACUUGCCCAUUUUUUUUAUUUUUUUGAGGUUCCGGACACAUGUCCCUUUUUAUUUCCUCGUGAUCUUUUUUUUGAGGUUUCGGACACAUGUCCCUUUUUAUUUCCUCGGAUGUUUUUUUUCUUUUUCAUAGCCAUAUGCCUUCUAACAAACUUUUGAGAUGAUAACAUAAUGAAAUAUUUUUGUUUUCAAUGGUAUGACAACCUCUCAAAGGGUCAACAAAGCUUAAUCUAACUCAAUGUGAUUAUUUUAUUUUUGUAAAAACUCCAGAACUCUAGCGUUGUUUAGAACAGGAUACUAGCAACUCAAAUCAUCACAAAUAUAUCCAUUAAUUACUUUAGACUUUAGAUAGAGCAUUUUGGAACCCACGCAUUUAAUCAUUUUAUUAAUUUGGAGAAUUCAAGGUUGAAACUAGAUACUGGAAAGAAAUUACGAUAGAGCAACUAUUCAUCAUUUCAACAAGGAAGAAGCAUAUAUCUUACAUCACAUAUAAGAGUGGAAUUAUAUUUUUGUCUUUUUAGAAUUUUUCAUUUUUUUCAUAUGCAAUAAUUAAAACAUGAAUUUAACUAAUGGAAAUUUCAUAAAGUAAACAUGCUAAUUUAAAAUUAAGGAUGCAUGAAAAUAAAUAUGCAAUGCAGAUAACCUCGGGAUUGGGGGUCCUCCCCCAAGCUAGCUUCUGGCUUACUGAUCGGGGUUGUACCCCAUGUACCGCCAGAAGUCUUGGGGCUGUUUCAGCAGCUGAUCUUGGUGAGCUUGCAUUUCUUCUUGCUGCUGCUGGUGCCAGGCCUGUUGUUGCUGUUGCCAUAGCAACCCUUGCUGGUGCCACUCCACGGCCUGCUGGUGGUGCGCAUCGGUGGUUUGGAUGUGUUGUUGGAGAGUAUCCUGGAUCUCAUCCGUGCGCACCACCAGUCCCCCAAGCUGAGCUUGGAGGCGCUCCAAGUCGGUUCGGCCUACUAUGGAGGCCGAAGGAUAUUCUUCUGGUGAUUUGGCCCUCCAGCGCGAUUGUUGUUCCCAAGCGCUGGAAUCCGCCUCAGCCCACCCCUCAAAACCAUGUGUCGGCAUGGGUGUGUCCCACCCCGACUGGUAGAUCGGCUGUGUAUAGGAGGGUGGUGGCUGGGAGCUGGAUCCACCGAUGUCCCUGCCAGAAACACUACGCCUUCGCGCAGUUUCAGCUGUCUGCAGAUCAAAGGUUAGUCUCCCAGAGUUAUACAAGCGUAGACCCGGGUUAGGUAACCGGAUUACGUUUGUAUACCCUGAGAAAUAAAACACAAGACCGCCCGCAUUAUCUCUUUUCAAAUGGUGACCUUGGAUAAGAUAGGUUUCAUUAAUCAUGGUGCGUGGAAUUUGAAUAUAAUCAAGAUCUUGCCCUUCCAAUGCACCAAUGGUCGUGGCCACACGUGUUAUGAGUGAAGUCAAAGAGAUAGGGGUGUUUGUCUUGAUUAUAUCUAACCAAUGCCUUACAAUUUCUUGCACAGGCGCAACUUUUAUUUUCAUUCUAGCCGCGUAAAGUAACCUCAUUUCAUUUACUCGCACAACGCGGGUAUCCUGGCUAGGAAACAUUGUUAUGGAUAGCCAAAGGUGUAAAAACCUUAGAGUGGGGUGUUGGAUGUGGGCAUUUCUAGGAUAGUAUUUUCUAGUGUGAACUUGCCCCGUGAUUUCUUCCCAAAACUUAUCCUUAUUAAACCCUUUUGUGGCAUGCACUAAAUCAAGAGAGCAUCUUUGAUGAAAACCAAGCUAUUUGCUUAAGUCUUUCCAAAAGAUAGCAUAUUCAUUUCCAAAUAAACGAACAGAAAUACCUUCAUAUGUUUCUCUUAAAGUGCAUAGGAAUUGAAUGGUAAGGGUAUAGGAUCCAUACUCAGUUAUGGGGUGAAUGUUGUCCCACCCAGCGGCUUUCCAUAUGGAGAGGAAUUCAGAGUCCAUACCGAUGUCGGAGAGGAGCGAGUCGUCGUAGACCGGCGUAUGGAGGAAGAUCCGGUCCUUGAGCAUGUUGUAGGCUUGAUGUUCUCGAUCACCCACCAAGUCGAAUUGGUGGGCUCCUCCUUCUUCUUCUUGUUCCUCCUCUUGUUCCUCUACCUCUUCCUCUACCGCCUCGAUCUCCGGGGAUUCUUCCUCAGCGGAAGGACUCCAUGGAGAUCGGUGUAGUAUGAGGAAGUGCUCCGAUAGGGUCGCUUCGAGGAUGACCUCAUGAAUCUUUUAAACGCCCCCGAAACUGUUUUGCCGAACCUUUUCAUGGUGCAAUGCUUGCAGCAGUGGAUAGCUAGCUUGGAUAGGUGAUUUUUUUGUGAGGUUUCUGCUGGUGGUUGGUUCGAAAUAGCAAAGAUGUGAAAGUGUUGCUUGGAGAGUGAAGAUGGAAGUGAUGAAGUAAAGUGAGAAUGGGUGGAGGGGGCCACACCCGAACCCCUUGUAUUUAUAGUUUGAAAAUGCAGGUGGAUUCGGGGUGAGGGCAACGGCUAGGAGCCUCCCCCAGCUGGCCGUUGGCUACAGCCGUUGGGGGGGGGCGGCCGACCCUAGGGGCGGCCGCCCCCUGGUGGGCCCCGUUGCUCCCCAGCUUUUGUCUCCAUCUUCCAACGGCUAGUUUUUGAAGUUUUCCGUUGGCAUAUUGAUGCACUUCCAGCUGAAAAAUGACUUUUGCAAUUUCCAACAUUUAUUUGUAAAACUUUUAUUUUUGAAUAAUUUAGAAAAAAUAUUUUUCUAUUAUUUUAUUUUAUUUCCUAGCUGAAAAUGAAUUUUUGAAUAUUUUUCAAAUUAUACAUAUAUAUAUAUAUUUUUAAGAUAACUACCGAUUACAUUCGGCGGAGGCUCAAAAAAAAUGUUUAUAGUCCUUUUUGAGAAGGACUCUCUUCCGUCGUUUGAAUUUCACCCUGCAUGAUUAGUGGGAGAGUUCUCGGGUUGCCCCGGGAGUCUACCCGCAUUCUCAGUAGGAAUUGCAGCGGCGAUCUGAGCUAGUUGUGUUUCUAUCAUUUUAUUAAAUCUCAGUUGGUUUUGUACGGAAGAGGCAAGGUUUUCUAUUUUUGUAUUUAUGUUUUCUAAAACCUUAUCAUUGGACAACAACUUUUUAGUUAAGUUUUCAUUUAUUUUAGCUUGUCCAUGAACUAGGUAUUUUAAUGAAGGUUGAUUCGAAUUAAAACUCGAAUUACCUUGGAAUGAAGAGCGUGACAGAUUAUUCCAACCAUUACCUUGGUUGGCGCCUCCUUGUUGGCGAAACCCGUUGUUGAUGUAGCAGCGUCUUCAUGGGUUUCGGGGCAAUCAUUCCCCGAAUGACCAACUUCUCCACAGACCUCGCACGUCAUGUGCGAGUCUAUGGCCUUCACCGAGUUCGAGGGGUUCUCUUGGUUCUUCUCGGUGAGUUGCUUCAUCAAUAAAUCUAUUCUUGCGGCAAGCAUAUCCGUCUCCUUCACGGUAUGCAUGCCUUUUUGUAUUUUGGCAGCUGGUGGUUGAGUUCUGUCCUCCCCCCAGCUCUGGUGUUCUACCAUCUUCUCGAUCAGGGCCUUGGCCCCGGCGGUGGUAAGUGAUAGGAACGCACCUCCAGCGGCGGCGUCUAGGUGUCCCUUCGACAUGGCGUGAGCCCAUUGUAGAAGUUCUGGAGCACCAUCCAGUUCUCUAUGCAGUGAUGGGGGCAGCUUAGGAUGUACUCUUGUAGCCCCUCCCAUGCUUCAGAGAUCGUUUCGCUGGCAUUUUGUUGAAAAUUGGCAAUCCUUCCCCUCAAAGCAUUGGUUUUGCUUAUGGGGAAGAACUUGGCGAGGAAUGCCGCGGAGCAUUUUGCCCACGUGGUGGCAGCUUCCAUAUCUUGAUAGAACCACCUCUUUGCCUUCCCCACGAUGGAGAAAGGAAAGAGGCGGAGCCGAAUGACAUCAGGAGUGAUGUCCUUGAUGACAAUCGUGUCACAUAGCUCUAGGAAGUGUUGAAGGUGUGCUUUCGCAUCCUCGCUUGGCAAGCCACAGAAUGGGCUCGCCUGCACCAUGGUGAUCAGGCCGGUGCGUAGCUCGAAGUUCUUGCCGGCCGUGCCAACAGUGGGGCCAGUGGCCACGUUGGUGACAGCGGGUACGGAGAACUCGCGGAGUGUCUUCUUGGCGGCCAUGAGUUCGUUCGGGGUUGGUGCGAUACCGGCUGGUUCACUUGUCGGUGGAGUAGCAGAAGACGAAAUAGUUCGAGACCGUCAAGUCCUUAGGAGUGCCUCGGGAUCGGAGAUGUAGUUUUCCGGCAAAGAGAAACCAAGCAUACACUAUUCCUCCUGUUUCAUCCACAACAGGGAGAAAACAGGCAGAGUUAGCCUGCAUAACAAUUGACUCAUUACGCACAUCAGAUUACUUGAUUAUAUUUAUCUAGAAUCAUUUUCAUAUUAGCCUUCCCCGGCAACGGCGCCAGAAAUUCUUGUUGGCAUUUCUUAACGUCAUCACUAAGAACAAGGUUUAAUCCGUCCUCAGCAACGAUGUCAGAAAUGUCGUGAUAACACUUACUAAUGCAAUCACCAAGAUUAGAGUAUAAAUCUAUCCUAAGCAACGGUGCCAGAAAUGCUUGUUAGUGUUUCUUAGCGUCGCUACCUAGAAUAGGGUUCUGCUCUACUCAUGAUAACGACAUUGGCAGUGUUAUAUUGGCAGAUCCGUAGCAUCACCACCUUGAAUAGGAAGCUAGAUCUACCUUCCUGAUAACGGCGCCUUAUUACCGUUAGGGUAGGGUUCUAGUUCUUAAUCAUGGUAGUGGCACUAGGAUUGCCAUGUUGGUAUUCCUUAACAAGUCACUAGCUCGGCGCAUGUCUAGCAACAGUGUUAAGUAUAUACCAGGGUGAUAGUUCCUUAGGUUUGGAGUUUAAGUACCGCAAGCGGACAGGAAUUACCGUGUAGCAUUUCAACCCGAGGAUUUACCAAGUGUCAUAUUUACAGGUUCGCUCUAAGGAAGGCUUAAUAUGUUAAGGAUUCUAAGAUAAGCAUAGAUCAAAGUAAUUAUGAUAACAAUAAUGGAAUCAAAGGUCAUAGCAGGUGAUAAACAUUUAUAUGUAGAAUAGUGAUCCAUAACAAUCUAGGCAUGGCAUAUGGGCUAAGGAAUAAAAAGAGACUAAAAGAAUGAAUUGAAUCAAAGAAUAAACAAACAACCUAUUGGAGCAGGUGUGGUCCUAGAUACAGAUCAUGUCAUAGAACAAGUUAAUCAUGUAAUUAUACUACUUAGAUCUAGUCCUGUGUUUAGAUGGUUUGGGAGGUUACACGAGUACUGGUCUACCAGCAACCUCCACAACUAUUUAGACUCCUACACCCUAGCCGAACGUGGGGGAAUGCCAAGGACAGACAGGGCUGUCACCACCUGCCGCCAUCCCCUCAACCUUGGACUAGGACAAUGCAUUUACCCGGCCUUUACACCCAAGCACCAUGCUUACAUGCAAAGAACCUACUCGAACUCCCCCGGGACCCCGACCCUACGGAUCGACAGGUAAGAAGCCCGAGCCUACUCAAAAGAGCAUGAUAAACCCCCAUCUUCACACAAAGCUAUUUCUAGGCAAUUUAUUAACAUGAAGCAAAUAGACUAAAGUCCUAAGUGAGAAUAAUACAACAUACACUUAGCACUAGUUCAUAUAAUACACUACUAGCCCUAGGGUAGCAUUAUACUAUAAGAACUAUAUACUAAAAUGUAUGUCAUAUCAUUUCCACUAGAACUAUAUUCUAGUUCAUAUGCUAGCAUCAUAAAACAUGGACUAUGAUCUAUAUCAUAUACCAUAGCAUAAGAACUAUACUCUAGUUCAUAUGAAGAACUAUAUCGGACAUGAUAAGGCAUGGACUUGGAGUAAAGAUAUUCUUUAUUCAUACCCAAGUUUCUCUCUAAGGAGCCAAGCCAUCCUUGAUAGCUCACCCAACUCUCUCUCUAAAAGCUAAAAGGAAAAACUAAGAAGAGGUAGUGCCCAAGUGCCUUGAAGUUGGAGUGUUGAUUGUGAAUGUGAUGAGAUGAAGGGAGCCUCCCUCUCCCCCUCCUUAAAUAGGUGGGGAAGGUCAGUUCCCCAGGGUGUAAACUGUAAUUUGCACGCGAGGACUGCGGGAGGAUAGGCUCAGCACCGCCUCUGCGAAAGGCGGUGCCGAGAUGGGCUGGGUCAAGGUCGGCCGACCCUAGGGGGCGGCCGCCCCUGGUCGGUCCCGCUGGCCCUGGCCCGAAGCCCGUUGCCUUCCUCUCGGGCCCCUGAGUCCAGAUCCACCUGCAAAUUGAUGCGCUUCUAUAUUGGGCUUUUGGGUACUUGUUUAUUUGCGCAUUUUUUGACGUGUCGGAUUGCGCCUUUUUAUUUGCUUUCCACCUGUACGCCUGUAUAUGAUCUGCAAAACACAACUUGCACUACAUGUGGAACUUGGUAAGCAUUUAAUAAGUAUAUGUGAGUAAAAUACAUGCUUUUCUUCCUUUGCACGGACUAUGUUGGCGGGGUAAAUAUGUCAUUAAGAACCGCCAACACCCGUUCAGCCUACCGUUCGUUCCCGUGGCAUCUGGAGUCUUCUAGAUGAUAGAAAAUUGUGCGACACAUUAAUAUCUCUAUGUAAACCCGACAUGUGGGCCUUUCCUCCAUGUUUCCUGAUAUCCCCGUGCAGAAAUAGACAAACACCAAAACUCAUGGAAUUCUAUCAGAUAAAACCCUAAGUCUGGGUGUUGGUUGCAUUUGAAUCCUUUUCUUUAUUUAUUUGUUGAUUAUAUUUGGUACUUAUGGACCGUCAACAACUCCCCCAAGCGUACCUCUUGCUCAUCCCUGAGCAAGGAUGGACUCAAGAGUUUCUGCAGUGGUUUCAUGCCUUAAAGGUACACAUGCGUUCAAACAAGAUCUCAUCUCUGGGCUAGGGUAAACUAUUAAGAUUUAAAACUUACUCAUUUUACCUUUCACCAUGGGGCUUGUAACCGUCACUUGAAUCUUGAGCAGUUAAAAGAUAGAACGGUCAAGUCAAGCGCCAUGUCUCUUGUUCUUUGAUCAACUAUAGCUUUGGAGUUUUUUUUGCAGAUUUUCAAAUAAAACUCAGAGAUUCCUUGUAUGACUCUCUCAAUUCUCUCUUUUGUGGUAUUUCUGGAUCCUUACUAAGGCAGUGAUGGUAUAUGCCUUCUAUCAAAGCAUGUGGUAUUUGUAGUAUGAGGCAUAGUGAUAUUGCCUUCUCUCUCAUCCUACUCUAAUAAGGCUUUGAUAUCUGGAGCUCAUAGGUGGGAGAUAAAGUAUACAUACUUACAAGACAUUUAUUGCAUAGUCAAACCAUGCAUCCAGAAGAAUAAGUCAAUAAGUCAAAUCAAGAUGUGCAUGUGUGGCGAAUGAAUGGUGUAUGGUGAUGAUGGUGAAGACAAUGGUGAAAGUCUAAUUCUACUUUUGCUCUUUUGAGGGGAUACAUACCUUUCUUGCACUUUGAAGCUUUUUGAGGGGAAUGAGAUGCUCUAUAUUUUCUUUUUCUUUUCUCUCAGGUGGGUGUCUUGUACACCUAAUUCUAUUGUCGGACACUUGUCCAUUUUUACCUCUUGUCACACUUUUUCUUUUCUUCGAGGUUCCGGGCACUUGCCCCUUUUUAUUUCCUCGUAUUUUUCUUUUUCUUCUUUUUCUUAGAGCACUCACCCUCCUAGAAUAAUGUAGCAAGUGGUAGUAACCAAAAUAUCUUGAGCAUUUAUUUCACACGGAAAAACAGGAAUGGGAUAAUGUUUUUGGCUAUUCUCUCUAGGAUAGGAGUAGAAUAAUUUUGGGUGAAUCUGGAGAUCGAAAUGAGUGGAUGUAUGUGGAUGCAUACUUCCGGAGUAGAAGCAGCAUAUAUAAGUGAAAGUGCAAGUGAAUCUUGAUUUUAACCGCAUGACAAGCUCCUAAGGGUCUACACAGCUUGACCACACUCAAUGCUCAUAAGCAUUAAAAAGUAAAUGUAUGGUUCAUAGUCUAAUAAGCAUGUAUAUAUGGUUGUGGUAGGAUUUUAAACUCUCAUCAUACAGGAACUCAUCAUGUGAUAUUUUAAAGAUUUUCAAACAUAAAAUUCUCCAGAAUUCUAGCAUCUCUAGAUAAACAGCAACUCAACCUUUCCAUAUUGUCGGUGUUUUCCCCCCGGGGGGUCACACGAACGAGUAAAACUUGUGUGCGUGCUCCCCUUUCCAGAUGGUGAUGCAAGAAAAGACAAAGAAUUAUCCUGGUUCGGGCAAGAGAAGGCCCUACGUCCAGCGGGGGGGGGGGGGGCAGGAGUGUUUGUAUUAUCUCGCACCUAAGUGCUUAUACAGGGGUGAAUACAAGUUUGUGUGGGUGGAAAGAUGAAGUAUGGUAGCUCUUCUACGUAUGUCUUGUGUUGUGUAUCCUCUCCUGGGCUUCCCCUUUUAUAGUUCUAAGGGGAGGCCUAGGUUACAUGCAUAGGCGACAGAGUAGGGGUCGAUAGGGGUGUGGCGCGCUGACCUACUCAAGGCCUCCGUACCGGUGUGGCCUCAAGCUGUCUUGUCUUGGUACCUUGAUGAUGAUUACACAUGCCCCUGAAUCCCACUCCUGCGCGCCGUCCUGGACUAGUUUAUCUGUUGCACGCUUGUACGUCGUGGUAGCAGCUACGUCGGAGUGGUUGAGGUGCUGUCAUUCGUCGCCUGAUCCUUCCCCAGGAAGGAAACGUGCCUACUCGAGGGUCAGGUGCCGUGCAACGCCUUGCUCGCCAGAGCGCUGACUUUGGGCGUCUCGAGGGGGUCUUGACUAGACGUUCCGACCCACUCCCUGCGCCCUGCCACGUUCUGGCUUGUUUGGUGGGGAAGGCUGCAAAAAGAACGACAGGACGGGUGCUUGUUCCCAAUCACGCUUCCCGUGACUGACAGGUUAGGUGAGAACGCGGUAGGCGCAUUAAAUGCCCUGGUUCCCGUGCUCGCAUUAGACGGCGGGCGGCAUCCUUGCGCUCGAGGCCUUUCGAUUUGUACGAGCCUGUUUUCGUAUUCGAGGGUCGUUGGUAGUCGAGCCUCAGACGAUUCGCACGAUGCUCUUUUCGUGUUCGAGGCUACGGUCGUCGAGGACCGUGCGUACAACUGGGGGGGCGUCGAGUGUUGACGGUCCUUAAGUAUCAAAUUUAAUUAUCAAAUAAAUAAAGAAAAGGAUCCAAAUGAAAUCAAGAUCUAGACUUAGGGUUUUAUCUGACAGAAUUCCAUGAGUUUUGGUGUUUGUCUAUUUCUGCACGGGGUUAUCAGGAAAUACGGAAGAAAGGCCCACAUGUCAGGAUUACGUAAAGAUAUUAACGUGCUGCGCAAUUAUCUUACAUCUAGAAGACUCCAGAAGCCACGAGACCAAAGUGGAGGCGAAACGGGGCCAGAGACAGGGCGCCCGCCCUGUCCUACUGGGCGCCCGCCCCCUGUUGGAGUCCAAACAAGACUCUGCUUUGCGGGAAGUCUCCACCGACCUAAAGGAUGAAUCUAAACCAUACAAUCUAUGUCGGUUUGAUCCAAGGGCCCAUAUUCACUUGAAGGGACUAUAAAACCAGACCCCCUGGCCCCUGGAGGAGAGAGCCUCUCAACCCUAAUUCAUUGUUCCAUCAAGGGAGAAGAAGCCUCUGAUCAAGAUUAGAGCCACCACAUCAAUUAGACAUCUAGAUUAGCAUAGCUACAUAGGAUUAGAACUAGAAGGAGUCAAUCUUCGAUUGGUUUCCGGAACUGUCAGGAGGAUUCUUGGUAAUUCUCUAAUUGUGCUUCUAAUUGCUUUCUAAUUAUCUUUGUUCUUCAAUAUUAUGAAUAUGACUUUGUUCUACUUCAAUAUAUUGCUUAUGACUUUGCUCUACUUGCUUAUAUUCAAGAUUAUAUUGUUCUUAGUUUAUCAUAGUUAUGUACUUGGCUUAGUUAGAUACGAUCUAUAUACAUGCUUAGGAUCGUAUAGCGUUUAUCCAUCGGAUCCAUGGGUAAAUGAUAGAUAUUGUGUAGGCGUGGUGCUUAUACCAUAUUUAUCUGCGAUUGUACCCAAUAUGCCAGAUCGUGGGGUGGUUCGUGAUAGUGACAGCUUCAUUGAUUCUUAUAUAGUCCCCCUCUCGUGUAUUGGGCUGGCAGAGCAACAUUAUUACAGGGGAGUGAUUGCUAUGUUUCUCAUAUUCCUUGCUAAUAUCACUAUGCAUGGGCGUAGUCUUGUCUCGCAAUGAUUGCUAAGUAUGCUUGCACUAACUAUGAUAAUGCUAGACUAUAUAGUUAAGAAUAACUUAGGAAAUAUUCUUGUAGUUCGUUCUAAUACCAUGCUAAUGAAUUUCUAGAGUAUCUAAUUGAGGUGCUUAUCAUAUUUAUUAUGUGGCUAGAUCAGAUUAGUUAUCCUUGUCACUAUUAUUAUUUCAUAUAUCUUUUAUGUGACGCUUAUCCCUGUAUGAAGAGUUAGAUAUAAUGUUCUCAAUUAUACAUGCAAUGAUAGAUGCUCAAUCUCAUAUUCUAUUCUGUAAUCAAUAGUGAUGAUUGCUAAUCCCUUCCCAGUGGUAAAAAUAUAAAUAACGAUACCUGAAAUACUUCCCGGUUAAAAUGCUGCAUCGGUAUUAAUCUGUGCGCUUGCAGAUCCUAUUCAUUAUUUAUUUAGAAGAGCAAUUGCAUAUUUCAAUACCGCGUCUCUCAUGUCAUGCUGGGGAUGACAACUUGGCUUAAGUGGUGUGAGGGAUAGGUUUGGCAUUUUUGGCACCGUUGCUAGAUUUAGAACUUAGUCUACUUUUAGUAAUGAUGUUAAGAAUACCCAACAAGUAUUUUUGGCGCCGUUGCCGGGGAAGGUUGAUUACUAAUCAGGAAUGGAAUAAAAGAUUUUGAGUUAUCAUUCGCAUCACUAAUAUGAUUGAGCUUAUCUAUUCUCUCAUACAGUUUUACCCCGAUAUUUUUCUAUUUUAUCUUAUGCAGGGGAAUGUAUGAAUAGAAGACAUCUUCCAGGAAAUUUUGUUGACAAUCCCGAAGCAUUAUUCAAGAAGACGAGAGCCAAGCUAAAGAAAUCAUCAACACUUCACGAAGAAGCUUCAUCCAAUUAAGAAGAUCACCGGAACUUGUCUUCAGAGUUCGAAGCCAUGGCGAACAAAUCGAUCCGCGAGUUCUCAGCUCCCACUACGGACAAUAUCCGCACUGGACCUGCUGCAGAGAUCGAUGGCAACUUUGAGCUCAAGCCUGGACUUAUCAACAUGGUGGGAAGGCACACGAAGAUGCUAGUGCUCAUUUACAACACUUCCUGGAGAUUUGCAACACAUUCACCAUAGCAGGAGUUUCCAAAGACGCUAUACUACUUCGCCUCUUCCCAUUCUCACUGUUAGGAAGAGCGAAGCAGUGGUUCUACGCUACAAAGGAGAAGAAUACUACGUGGGCACUCUGCUCAACAAACUUCCUGGCUAAGUUCUUUCCCAUGGGCAAGACCAAUGCUCUCCGUGGGAAGAUUACAAGUUUUCAGCAACAAAAUGAUGAAUCUGUUCCAGAAGCAUGGGAGCGCUUUCAAGACUACAUCCUAGAAUGUCCCCAUCAUGGAAUGGAGAGUUGGCUAUUGAUGCAGACGUUUUAUCAUGGGCUCAGCAACAGUGCCCGAGAAACCAUGGAUGCUGCAGCUGGAGGAGCAUUCUUAUCACUUACUAUACCACAAGCCACAACUCUUGUGGAGAAGAUGGUGUCCAACCAAAGCUGGAAUGAAGAGAGGACCCAGACACGCAAGAGAGGUGGAGGUAUGCAUCAGCUGAAGGAGGUAGACAUGCUGUCUGCAAAGCUAGACCUACUGAUGAAGAAGCUCGAUGAUAGAGCUGGAGACAAGAAAGAAGUUAUGCACAUCUACGACUCUCACAUGACUUGUGAGGAGUGUGGAGACACUGGACACUCAGGCAACCACUGCCCUGAGAUACUUGAGGAUGUGAACUACAUCAACAACAACAACAACUACUACUACAACCGUCCUCAACAAAAUCAAGGUUGGAAUCAACAGAGGCCUAACUACUCAGGUAAUUAUCAAGGUAACAAUUCUUAUAACAACAAUAGUAAUUUUCCACCUUUGAGAGAGUUAGUGUCUAAUCAAGGAAAGCUAAUGGAUAACCUAUCUAAGAAAUUGGCAUCUAAUUAUAAAAUGCUAGAAAAUAUAAAUAAUAGAAUGGAUAAUUUUUCUACUGCCAUCAAGAAUCAAAUUAGCUUUAAUAAAAUGAUUGAAUCUCAGUUAAAUCAAAUAGCUGCUGCUGUUCCUACUACUAACCCCGGUAUACCAUCACAACCGGAAGGAUUAGAAUCUGCAAAUCUUGUAGACGUGUUUGAUGCAGGUAAUUGGAGUAACCCCGUCACUGAAUUUUCUUCUGACCUUCUGCCGGUCAAGAGAGGCGAUCCAGGACGCCCCGUCAUCCCGAUCUCCAUCGGCAUGGUGGAUGUCCCAGAAGCACUCUGUGACUUUGGCUCCAGCGUCAACAUUAUACCCUGGGUACUCUAUGAAAAAUUCUUUACAUAUCCUUUAUUAGAGACAACCAUGUGUUUGCAGUUUGCAGAUCCGACGAUAACUUUUCCAAAAGGAAUAGUGAAGAACCUUUGUGUCCGAGUUGGUACCUUAUAUGCCCCAGCAGACUUCGUAGUGGUAGAGACCGGAAAUGAUGAGAGAGCACCUAUCAUCCUAGGGAGGCCAUUCUUGAACACCACGGGAGCUAUCAUCUACGCCAGUGCUGCCAAGAUUAGUUUCUACGUCAAAGGGAAGAAGGAGACAUUUUUCUUCAAGAACAAGACUACACAAAUUCCAAAUCAAUCCAGACGUGAAUCAAGGAAGAGGACCAACAGGAGGAACAGGGACAAGCAAGUGUGGACCGAGUCAGCUAAGAUGGUCACUGUAGUUCAUGGAGGUCAAGAUCACCAACUUAAGUCACCAUUUUUGACCAAGAAGGAGGACCCAGGAAUGCCAAGCAUUUACUGCUCCAUACAUGGAUAUAGCUUCUACAAGACAAUUUGCGACACCGGAUCGGGCGUCAACAUAAUGGCUGCAGUCACCUAUCGGCUCUUGUUCGGAACCAUGCCACUAAGACCAACAUACAUUCAGCUCCAGAUGGCAGAUCAGACAUUUUGAGAAGUUCAAGGAAUAGUAUCUGAUGUCCCAGUCAAAAUAGACGAUCAAUUUGUCUACACAGACUUUCAAGUUGUUGACAUGGGAGAAGACGAGUAUGAUCCACCCGUCAUCCUUGGAAGACCGUUCCUCAGCACCGUUAAAGCAAUUAUCUACAUUGGAACCGGAGAAGUCCAUAUGCACUUCCCCUCAGAGAAGGUACGCCGUUAUUUUACUAACCCUAACUAUAUCAUUGAAGAAUCUAAGCAGGUAAUAAAGCGACGCAACCGCAACCAGAGGAGGCAGAUCAUCAAGGACGGAUGGGCGGACUAUGAAGGAGAAGUUGUAAGGUCAGAAGACAUAGAGUUUAAACAGAAUUAUCCAGAGGAGAUUGAAGCACCGAGUCAGGUAUGGAAAAUGAAGAUAACUAUACAAGAAGAGGAGGCGCUGCCGGAAGUACCGACUACGCCACCCAACGAACCUCAGGACGAUUAAGAAAAUGGAGAGUCCCGUUCGGAGGACUUAAAAACACCGAAUGCCUUGCCAAGAGGUAAACUUGGUAGUUAUCAUUUCCCUUUCAAUUAUUUCAAAUAGUUUACUUAGUUAAUCAUAUUCACACUAUCUUAAAAAGAAAAUAAAAAUGUUAAAAACAGUAAGCCCCAUGUGAGUAGACGAGCGGUAUGAAACCCAUAGGUACAUUCACUGUGGUGGCAUAAAAAUAAAAUAAAUAUUUUUCUGCUUUAUAAAAACAAAAAUAUAAAAACAGGGAGUAAUAAUUAUUAAGGAGUCUCAACAUGAUAAAGGCUAGAUAUUUAUGCUAACACUUAAUCAGUUCCACAAGCUUUGUUGUCUAUUUGAGCUCCACAGAAUUUAAGAAUCAAGAAGACUAGCAGACGGAGGACAUCCUAAUCGCUGUCAGAAUGCUGCUGACUUUCAAAUACACCUCUACCACCUGCUAGCUACACCAAGAGAAAUUACGUCAAAAUUCAGCUUGGGGGAGAGCACCCCCAUUUAUCCCGAUAAGUAUUUCUUUCUAUCUAUCUUUAUACUUAUAUUAUUUUAGAAUAUAAAUAACUAUGAAAAAACCAAAUAAAGAUUUUAUGCUUAUAUAUAUGCCUUUUGCUUAGUGUGUUUAAUAAAUAAAUAAAGUGGCUAUGCUAAUCUGUAUCUAAAUAAAACUUAAGCAUGGAUAUGAUAAAUAGUUGCUCUGCCUAAUUAGCAAGUUUUAAGUUCUCUCUCAAGUUUAGAUAUAACUGUUAUAAUUUAAAUCUUGCUCUAGACCUAAACUUGUGGGAUGAAAACUUGAUCUGAAGUCUAAGUUGUUAACGGAUAUGAUAUGGGAAGGUUAAGCUGCUGUUUAUCUGUUCCUAGAGAUGCUAGAAUUCUGGAGAAUUUUAUCUUUGAAAAACUUUAAAAUGUUGCAUGAUGAGUUCCUGUAUGAUGAGAGCUUAAAUUCCUACCACAGCCAUAUAUGCAUGCUUGCUAGACUUUGAGCCACACAUUUAUUAUUUACUGCUUAUGAGCAUUGAGUGUGGUCAAGCUGUGUAGACCCUUAGGAGCUUGUCAUGUGGUUAAAUCAAGAUUUCACUUGCACGUCCACUCAUAUAUGCUACUUCUACUCCAGAAGUACCAUCCACAUAUAUCCAUCCAUUUCCAUCUCCAGAAUCACCCAAAAAUAUUCUACUCCUAAUCCAGGAGAGAAUAACCAAAAAAAAUAUUUCUAUUUUUCUCUUUGUAAAAUAAAUGCUCAAGUUAUCUUGUUACUACCACUUGGUAUAUUAUCUCAUGAGAUGAGUGCUCUAAAAAAAAGAGAUACGAGGAAAUAAAAAGGAGCAAGUGCUCGGAACCUCGAAAGAAAAAAAAAGAAAGUGAGACGAGAGGUAAAAAUGGACAAGUGUCCGACAGUAGAAUUAGGGGUGCAAGAUGCCCACCUGAGAGACAAGAAAAAGAAGAGCAUCUCAUUCUCCUCAUAAAGUUUCAAAAGCAAGGAAGGUAUGUAUCCCCUCAAAAGAGCAAAGUAGAAUUAGACUUCCACCACGAUUGUUUCCACCAUUGUUAUCACCAUUAUCACCAUACACCAUUCAUUCGCCACACAUGCACAUCUUGAUUUGGCUUAUUGAUUUGUUUCUUUGGAUCCAUGGUUUGACUAUGCAAUAAAUGUCUUGUAAGUAUGUGUACUUUAUCUCCCACCUAUGAACUCCAGAUAUUAAAGCCUUAUUAGAGUAGGGUGAGAGAAAAGGCAAUGUCACUAUGCCUCAUACCACAAAUACUACAUAUCUUGAGAGAAGGCAUAUACCAUCAAUGCCUUGGUAAGGAUCCAAAAAUACCACAAAAGAGAGACCUGAGAGAAUCAUACAAGGAAUUUCUGAGUUUUAUUUGAAAAUCUGCAAAAACCCCAGAGCUAUAGCUGAUCAAGAAUAAGAGACAUGGCACUUGACUAGACUGUUCUAUCUUUUAACUACUCAAGACAGAAGUGACAGUUACAAGUCCCAUGGUGAAGGUAAAGUAAGUAAGUUUUAAGUCUUGACAGUUUACUCUCACUCAGAGAUGAGAUCUUAUUUAAAAAGCAUGUGUACCGUUAAAUUUUAAAGAUAUUGCAACUACUUCUGGUCCAUAGCUGAGUCUAUCCUUGCUCAGGGACGAGCAAGAGGUAAGCUUGGGUGUGUUUGUUUACGGUCCUUAAGUAUCAAAUUUAAUUAUCAAAUAAAUAAAGAAAAGGAUCCAAAUGAAAUCAAGAUCUAGACUUAGGGUUUUAUCUGACAGAAUUCCACGAGUUUUGGUGUUUGUCUAUUUCUGCAGGGGGUUAUCAGGAAAUACGGAAGAAAGGCCCACAUGUCAGGAUUACGUAAAGAUAUUAACGUGCUGCGCAAUUAUCAUACAUCUAGAAAAGCCACGAGACCGAAGCGGAGGCGAAACGGGGCCAGAGGCAGGGCGCCCGCCCUGUCCUACUGGGCGCCCGCCCCCUGUUGGAGUCCAAACAGGACUCUGCUUUGCGGGAAGUCUCCACCGACCUAAAGGAAGAAUCUAAACCAUACAAUCUAUGUCGGUUUGAUCCAAGGGCCCAUAUUCACUUGAAGGGACUAUAAAACCAGACCCCCUGGCCCCUGGAGGAGGGAGCCUCUCAACCCUAAUUCAUUAUUCCAUCAAGGGAGAAGAAGCCUCUGAUCAAGAUUAGAGCCACCACAUCAAUUAGACAUCUAGAUUAGCAUAGCUACAUAGGAUUAGAAGUAGAAGGAGUCAAUCUUCGAUUGGUUUCCGGAUCUGUCAGGAGGAUUCUUGGUAAUUCUCUAAUUGUGCUUCUAAUUGCUUUCUAAUUAUCUUUGUUCUUCAAUAUUAUGAAUAUGACUUUGUUCUACUUCAAUAUAUUGCUUAUGACUUUGCUCUACUUGCUUAUAUUCAAGAUUAUAUUGUUCUUAGUUUAUCAUAGUUAUGUACUUGGCUUAGUUAGAUACGAUCUAUAUACAUGCUUAGGAUCGUAUAGCGUUUAUCCAUCGGAUCCAUGGGUAAAUGAUAGAUAUUGUGUAGGCAUGGUGCUUAUACCGUAUUUAUCUGCGAUUGUACCCAAUAUGCCAGAUCGUGGGGUGGUUCGUGAUAGUGACAGCUUCAUUGAUUCUUAUAUAGUCCCCCUCUCGUGUAUUGGGCUGGCAGAGCAACAUUAUUACAGGGGAGUGAUUGCUAUGUUUCUCAUAUUCCUUGCUAAUAUCACUAUGCAUGGGCGUAGUCUUGUCUCGCAAUGAUUGCUAAGUAUGCUUGCACUAACUAUGAUAAUGCUAGACUAUAUAGUUAAGAAUAACUUAGGGAAUAUUCUUGUAGUUCAUUCUAAUACCAUGCUAAUGACUUUCUAGAGUAUCUAAUUGAGGUGCUUAUCAUAUUUAUUAUGUGGCUAGAUCAGAUUAGUUAUCCUUGUCACUAUUAUUAUUUCAUAUAUCUUUUAUGUGACACUUAUCCCUGUAUGAAGAGUUAGAUAUAAUGUUCUCAAUUAUACAUGCAAUGAUAGAUGCUCAAUCUCAUAUUCUGUUCUGUAAUCAAUACUGAUGAUUGCUAAUCCCUUCCCAGUGGUAAAAAUAUAAAUAACGAUACCUGGAAUACUUCCCGGUUAAAAUGCUGCAUCGGUAUUAAUCUGUGCGCUUGCAGAUCCCAUUCAUUAUUUAUUUAGAAGAGCAAUUGCAUAUUUCAAUACCGCGUCUCUCAUGUCAUGCUGGGGAUGACAACUUGGCUUAAGUGGUGUGAGGGAUAGGUUUGGCAUUUUUGGCACCGUUGCUAGAUUUAGAACUUAGUCUACUUUUAGUAAUGAUGUUAAGAAUACCCAACAUCGAGUCGGAGGCUUCAACUUUCGUACGGAUGCUCUUGCUAUGUACAUCAGUUAGGGUACCCCUUACUGAUAUCCUCGACAAUAGCCCCCGAGUCUCUAUUCGAGCGCUUGCGCUCGAGUGGAGGCUCUUUUUUGUGGUCGAGUUUCCAUGGGGGCGCGCGAGCGACCCCGCGGGGGUAGCCCCCGAGCCCUUGGAGGAGUUUUUGACUCCUUCGAGGGUUAUAUUGCCCAAUCUGCGGAAGCACUCUCGAUGUCCAUCGUGGAAGGCGAGCUGAAGGCUUUGAUUGGUUUGUUUCGCGGAGGGGUCACGACGUACUCCCGGUGGAGCGAGCGUCAUCUACCCCAGAUUGAGCUCCUAGCGGGUAAUCCAAGUGAGAACCCGUUCCUGGUUCGAGGAGGUCGGCUGUAGCUCGGAGGCGUUCUCACAAAGCGGGGUCGACGUGGUCGGGGUUACUGGUCUCGUUCGAUAGAGUCCAGCGGCUCGAUGCCUCCCCUCGGGGGGAUUCAUAUCGACCAUCUCAUCCUCGCAUUGGACAUCCCCAGCGAGUCCUCGAGGGGGCCUCUUUCUUCGACCGCUCGCCGGGCAUCCCUGACUCGGGUACUCGAGAUCGGCUGUCGAACCCGUUCGGUGUGUCAGCCUGCGACCUCUCGAGGUUCUCAUGAAUACGUACCUUGGCUUACAGGGGAAGGAAAAGAUCACGGCGGUUCGCCUUUUUGCCCGUUGGGCGCACCUUUUUAGGCGGGAGCCGUUGCGACACCGUACCGGCGUGGAAUUCAUAGCGUCCCGUCUGUGAGAGAGAUAAGGACCGUUAGACGGUGCAUUUAUUGGAGAAGCUACCGUAUCUGUCGGAUCUGUCCAUUGGUGGGUUGCCGACUAUAAAUAUCUUGUGGUCUUCCUGUCGUCGCUCCUUCCGCCUUCUGCCCCUGUUCUUGCCUCUGCUUCCUUGCCAUCUCACGCGCGCGUACCCUCGAGCAGUAGUGAAGUCUCCCUCCUCCCACCUAAAAAUGCCGGUGAGACUCAUCGCCGCCGAUGACUGGCGCCCGUCGUCGAUGACGGAGCGCCGGCUGUUGGAGCUCGAGAGGGAGGGGCUCCUGCGUCCCCGCGUAUCUUCGUCGCGGCCGGAGUGGAUCACGCCAGCGGCGGACCACCGGGAGCCAAGGCCGCCCAAGGGCUAUGUGGUCUCCUUCGCCAAGUUCCACCGCCACGGCUUGGGCUCUCCUCCGAGUCGUUUCAUGUGGGCGCUCUACCACCACUACGGGGUGGAGCUCCAGCAUUUUUCGCCGAACGCCGUCACCGCCACGGCAGUUUUUGCCGCGGUGUGUGAGGGCUACCUGGGGAUGAUGCCGCACUGGGAUUUGUGGCUCCACUUGUACCGGGGCGAGCUCUUCAAUGCCCCCAGUGGAACCACAGGGGUGAGGAAGCUGGUACGGGCCAGGUGCCUCAACCUGGUGCUCAAGACUGGCAAGUCGGAGAGGCCGCGCGAGUACAUCCUGGUGGGGUUGACGUCGUACCAUGCCGGAUGGGACUCCCAAUGGUUUUACUUACGGAACGACGACGACCUCUUCCUCGCCUACACCGGGCGCUUGAUUUCGAAGCACCCGGACCACUGGAGGUACGGUGUUGUUCAAGCCCACCAACCGUGGCUCGACCCCAUUCUCGACGCCCUGAAGAAGCUGCGUGAGGAGGGCCUGACGGCCGCACUCGUCCUUUCUGCCGUACAUCACCGACGAGUGCUCCCGUUGAUGUCUCGGCCAUUGAGGAUGGACGAAAUGGGCCCUGGCGUCUCGUCUCGUGUUCUCGAGGCUUGCUGGAUGUCUAACGAAGCGCCUGCGGACGAUGAGGUCGCCGCCAGGGUUAGGGCGGCUCUUGCAGGUGAUUUUCAGCCUGGGCAUGUCAACGGCUUCCCUAUGAGGCCCGAUCAGGGGUCGAUCGACUUGGUAAGUUCUUUUCCUAUUUACGGUUCUGAUUCUCGAUUUCCUUUGACCUUCUUUAAGACUUAUCUUUGCUCAUGCAGGGAUCAAUCGACGCUCGAUCCUCAAAGCCUCCAGUGAAGGAGGACGGCGUGGAUCGCGACAAGAGGCGCGAGUCCGCGGAGAAGCUGAAGUCCGCAAAGGACUUGGGAAAGAAGGAGGAGAAGAAGAAAACUCUCGCGUGACAUGCGUUGGAGACUCGUCGAGCGAAGUCCAGGCAGAUGGGGAGCCUGAGGAAGAAUCCCCUAAUGAGGACAAUGGCGGCGACGGUGAUGACGACAGCGACGACUCCGAGGGGAUGGCGUCCCGUCUUGACAGGAUCCUCGAGGGCCCGCCUCAGACCGGCGUCGACGUCCCGCGGACGGGAGUCCCUAGGGGGCGCCAAGCGGGUCUCGUGAGAGUCAACAGAGGGAGUCAUCCCCGCGCCGACACUCCCCUAUAGCCUGCGCAAGGUCGGACCGUCCCCCGCCCCCAACCUCCUCCCGCAUCUAAGGCGGGCCAUCGGGUUAAGUCUCUGGUGACGGGGCCGUUGACCCGUGGCCAUGCCGCGACCUCGAGUAAGGGGGAAACAGGUCGUAGGAGUGCUAGUCCAGGCGCUGGUCAGGCGGGAGACGCCGAGCCGAGACUCGUGCCCAUUCGUGAGGGGCCUGGAGCCUCGACGCGGGGUGGCUCGUGGCCUGCAGGUCGAGGCGCUAGUAGGCGGGUCGCUCUUCCUGUGGGGUAAGAUUUUUGACGUCGUGAUUCUUACCUCCCAAUGUCUUUGCAUUUUCUCAGGUAACGGCUUCUCUUACGCUUGUUCCUCUUUCCUCAGGUUGAAGCGGCCGCUCGAACAGGGCCAGCCCUCGAUGGCCAAGAGGCUUACGGUGGGAGCGGCCUCCAAAGACUCAGGUUAGCGGUUCAUUCCCAUUAUCAUGGGAGUCGUGUUACCCUUAUGUUGAUCAUCAUGGUGACUGACUUUUUGAUUUUGAACGCUUACAGGCUCCUCCAAUCCUCGGCCGUCGACGGGUGUCGAGAGCGCCCCACCUCGUCCAUUGGUGGGGGAGUCCACCCCGCCGUCGCCGAAGCGGGUCGAGGCGCCUCGCCCCCAAGAGCAGGAGGGAGCCCCCGAGCCUCCCCGAUCUGGGGUCGAGGGGGAUCCUAUCACUAUAAGUGACGGGUCUAGUGGCAACAGGCUUUCGAAGGACGCCCGCCCCAUGGACGAGGAGGUCGAGGCUUCUCCCGUCGCGAAGCAGACACCUUGGCCCAUCGGGCUCCACUCCGUCGAGGAGAAGAGGAAGAACGCGAGCGGGCGAAGGAGAGGAGGGGCGACGGCAAGAAGGGGUCCAGCUUGAGGAGCUGCUUGAGCAGGACCGGCAGCAAGAGCUAUGGGAGCUCCAGAAGCAGCAGCAGAGGGGUCAGCAGUUAGAUGAACUGCUGGAGCCACCGCCACGCAAGUCCGUCCCAGCCGGUGCCGCCGUCACCACAGGGGCCUGAGACCGGGGAGGAGGGUCUGCCGGUCUAUGGCCUGCCGACCCCUGCGUGGCUCCGUCUGGGAGCGCCUGCUUCCAUCCCGGCUUAGCCAGGGCGGGCGGACAGCGUGGUGGCACUCGCUUGCAUGAUGCGCACCUCGGUGGAUCCUCAGUCCGAGAUCAAGGGCACGAUCUAUGGCAUCGAGGGGAUCGCUCCCGGAUUUCUCCGAGAAUGACGGCCGUGGGAAGAUCACAAACCCUCUGAGGAGGAUGAAGCCGGGACGUCGGGUGGUGGCGCUACCGACGAGACCGAGACCUGGAAGACAGUGGAUGAUGACAGACGAUUCCCCUCCCUUAUCGACCUAUUUUUACGUCAUGGGGGGUCACUCGAGACUGUCAAAGAGCUCAUCCGGGGUGUCAAGGUGCGCACGGAGGAGGAGAUGGAAAACUGGUGCCCCGAUCGGAUCCGCAUUCGGGCCUCCACCGACCCAUCCGAGCCUAACAUUUUUAUGGAUGAUCGGAAGGAGGCCGAAAAGUGGGAACAUCUCGAGGAGCUUCGCCUCUGGAUGAAGCACGUGGUGGGGCUCCUAUCUGACGUCGUCAACAGCGGGCUCGGUCCAGCUUACUUUGUAAGUGUAUUUGGGCAUUAGUUAUCGUAGGACGUUUUGGUUUUGUGUUCUUACUGUUCCACUGCUGGCUCGCAGGAUCUGAAAGAGACCGCCCGUAUAAAGUCGAGAUUUAUCCACGCGACGAGGGGUGGCUGGGAGCAACUCCGUCUCCUCAAAGACCAACUCCUGGAGUCGCAGGAGAAGCUCCUCAAGGCUUACAAGGAGCUUUUGGCGCUCAAGGAGGAGAAGAAAGAGAGGGAGGCCGCUCUGGCCGAAGCUCGGGAGACCUCGAGGAAGGCGGUGGAAGAGGCUACGCUGCUGAGGGAGCGGACCAUGUCGGUCGAGGAGGCUGCGUCCAAGGCUCAGGAAGAGGCCGUAUUCUAUAAGGAUGCUGUUGGUGCAAAAGUUGAUCUGCAAACACAAAGGGCUAAUACCCGAUUCAAACAUUAAGUCGUGCAAGCCGAUUUGACCUUACUAUUGACAAAGGUGAUAACUCGAAUACUUUGGUCCCGACAACAGCGAUGCGCCCAGAUGUCACGGCCAAGAGGUAUUCACGUGGAACUCGAGAAUACGCCGAGCUUAAGUCGACGAACUCCUAAGAACUCAUAAUAAAAAGGAAAAUAUGACGAAGUCGUCGAAAAAGUAGAUGCUGGAAUAUGAGUAAAAACUUGUGUUUGAUUGAUUGAUAGAUAUAUCAUUACAAAGCCCUAGGGUCUACAUUUAUACCUUGCUCAAAGAGCUACAAUCAGACACGACUAGGACUCGAAUUCCAAAAUAAAUAGAAUCCGUAUACAAAACGAAUUUAAAUAACUAAGGAAAACAUAAAACUACCCCCUUGUAACCGACCGGGACAACGCCACAGAUCAAUCGGCAACCUCCACGCUUUCCUUCAGAGUCAUCGGCAGUCUUCCUGUUAUGGCCAUCGGCAAACACCAAUAUCAAUCAUCGGCAAGAACACGUCACCACCUCUAGACUAGUUACCGUUGGUCCACCAAUAUUCAAUCAUCUCUUCAUUGGUAAUUAUCCUCAUCGGCAACUCUUCUGCAGACUAGUUACCGUUGCUCCACCUGCCGAUCUAUACUCCACUGGUCCCUGGGUACGUGUCUAAAAACGGUGUCAACACAUGCACCCCAAUUUCGGAGUAUAAAAUCAUUAAUGCUCCAAAAUUCUCUGCAGUAAUGAUGCCUUUCCACAAAUAAUUCUCCCAAUUUGGUAACCGACCGUCUAAAUCUGAACAGCCUUGGCCCGAUUCUCCUGCAGGUUCCUCGAAUUCCUCAACCUUCCGAACCAGAUCUCUCCACUUUAUGCGCCCAUCAGCAAUGUUACCGUUAGAGGGAACUGCCGAUGGACCGACCAAGAGAUCCCGCACAGUAAAAUAUCUCCAGAUCAUGACCGCUUCCCGUCAAAUCACCUGCGCAAUCCCUUGAUUACCGUGCGAACAGUUACCAUAUCCACCUGAGUACCCUCGGAUUUCACGGAUAUGGCGAAGAGAUAAGUCAAAUCUUCCCUUGCCCGUUUUGCCCUAUAAAUACUUCCUUCUCGGGUACUCCUUCUCCAUUGCAUCAGUUGACCCCUCCUGUCAGCCCCGAUGUCGUUUGGACAGUCGCCGUCCGGCGCCGCGUGUCCGGCCAGGUGUCGGCCGUACGCCGUCGAUGACCCCUCCUGUCAGCCCCGAUGUCGUCCACAAGACGCCACGCACCGAGUGGACGCCUCAGACGCGCCAUUCACCUGUCCAGAGCCUCCCAUUGCGUCCGCCUUCGUCCUCAGCGAGCUCCGCCGCGCUUCGGCGAGCUCUCCCGGCCGCUCCACCGUGUCUCCGGCCGAGCCAAUCCGCUCAGAGCUCUGCCUCGACGUCCUCUACCUCGACGUCCACUCCUUUCCCUUAGCCGAGUACCGGUGAGGCCGCAUUGCCAACUCCGUCGUGAGCUCCACCUCGCCGGAGUUUACAGAGAUCACCGGCAACGUGGCCAGACCUCUCUGGUUCACCUCUAUCCAUGAUUCUUCUUCCUAUAGCUUCACCUUGAGUCACUCUUGCUCGUCCGCAACCUCUACCGCGUCGCCGUUGCCUAGGUUCGCCGGUGUAACGCCACGCAGCACCGCCGCUCCACCAUUCGCGACGGCGAGCACCCUAGUAGGUCAACGGAGUCGCCUUGAGGAGAGGAACAUGUAGAUGUCCUUGGAUCCAUCGGAGACCUCGCCGUCGUCGAGUUCCGCCGGCGAUGAGCUUCUCCCCUGUCUCUGUCUCUCUGUCGCGUGGGUCCCGUUUGUUAGCGGAUCCCACCUAUCAGUCUCACCCUCUCACACUCUGGUCACUGUAUAGUAGGUUCUGUGGUGUUUUUGAAAAAUUCAUAUCUCGAGUUUUAUAGAUCCAAAUGACAUGGUUCCAAUUUUGCUAUGUUUUGGUGGUAAUCUAGUUUUUAUUAAAAAUAUAAAACAUGCCAUGUGUUUGCAGAAAUAAAUAUAUAUGAUUUAACCUUGAUUAUAUAGGAGAUAAUUAUAUCUUGAGAUCUGUUGAUAUGGUGGCCAUGCAAAUUUAGGGUGUUGUCACUUAUGACAUGAAUAGGCUCUGAUAAAUUUAUCAUGAUUUUUGGAGGUCUGAUUGUGAAGUUAUAAAUAUUUCUUGCUUAAAUAGGAGUUUCUUGUGGUAAUUUUAGUAAAUAGAUUAUAGCGCCUUUUGUGGUGACACUUUCUGAGUGUUGUACUCUUGUGUAAACAAAGCUAGGAAAAAUCUCAAAUCUGUUGUUUGACACUUUUUGGUAGGGUUUCACAUUUAUGCCUUGCAUGCCUUUUCUAGCUUGUUAUUUUUGUAUCUCACAAUCUGUAUGUGCAAGUGCCCUAAAAGUUGUUCAGUAACCUUGUGUUAGCAUAAGUAGCUUGCUGUAAUUUUCUUAGAAUUCUUGAAGCACUUGGGGUGCAUGUUCAUUAAAUCACCUUAAUAAUUAAAUAAAUCAAAAAGGUGAUGAUAGAAAUGAGUUUAGACCUUGCCAUGAUAUUUUCUAGUGUUUUUUAGACAUGUUAUAUCUAAUGGUGCAUUUGGAUUGACCCUUUUAUACAUUCUUGUUAUGUGCAAAAUAUUAUUUUUGCUAUUUAUGCCUUUCCUAGAGCAAUUCUAUGUAGCUGAUAGCAAUUGCUUAAUAACUAAUUGAAGAUGAUGUUUUCUGGGAAACUUGUAUAUAACAAACUGGUAGCUAACUUGCUUAUCUACUACGUGUUCAAGUUUCAUGACAUUUAGUUGAGUAGUUUAAAAGUUAUGCAUGUUACAAAUAGCUGCUGCAAAGUGCUUGCUCUCUGGAUUUUCCAGGACAGCCAGCCAACUUUGUAUGUUUUAGCAUAUUUCGGUUGGGAAUCAUUCUGGGAUGUCUAAAAGUGAAUUGUAGCCAAUUUACUAAGCUUUCUAGAAAGUAUCUAUUUGCUUAGUUUGGCCACCUGAUGCUUAACAGGUGACUAAAACUUGUGACUAGUUAAUCUGUACAUGACCCCAGUUGUUGUGUAUGGGUAGCGAAGGUUAAUUGCUUGUCUAGUUAGCCUCUCUACCAGAGAAGAAGUAUGUACUUACUUGUUAUCUCAUGGUCCUCAUAAUCUCAUGAACACUAUACUCAUGUUUAUGCAUGGCUUUAUGUUCCUUUGGCUCUUCAUCAUGACAUCAUGCAUCAUAUGUGCAUUCUCUAUAUUUAUCUCCUUGUCAUGCAUACAUAGGUGUACCCAAGGGCGUGACGGUUUUGGAGUUCGAGCUGCCGGAGCUGGUAGAACAGCAAGGGGAGCCACCUCAAGGAGCUGAGGAGGAGGACUUACCGGAAUGUCCCGACCAUCGCCCGUCCACCUACGUUGAAGGCAAGCCCCGGAGCAUUAUAAGCCUCCUACUAUUUUGUUACCAUGUCCAACUAUCAAUUGACUAUGGUUAUGUAUUGUUGCAUUAAGUGUUAGGUGUUUAUAUGACACCCUUGCUGCAUAAUGACUACCUUGUCCACCUCAUACCUUACCUAAAUAGGUCCAGGAUCGAAAUGAUGCUUAGCCAUGCUUAGCUCGGAAGAAGCCGGGUGAUUUCCUGUCACCUGCGAGAGAUAGGUGGAUGCUGAUCACGGUUGGCUAUAUUUGCUAUCGUGGAAAUAACCAUGUGCUAAUAAUGAACUUGAGACCGAGCGGGAUGAUGAUAGUGCAGCAGCAAGGCAUUGAGGUCUUUGGUGUGAAUCUAUCCCCGUCCGUGUCGGUUAAGGACCGAUUCGUUGUGCGUCCUCGUGUCAUGUUGAACGCAUGCCUAACACUUAGCUGGCCAGAUAAGUCGUUCCGACCGCGAAGCCUACGAGUGCAACUCAGGCCGGAUACCCCAUUCUGUAUGAGUGCGCACCCCGGUUGGUAGUAAGUAUGUGCGGGGAGUCAAUGGCGUAAGUCCGAGGAGUCAGGUUAGAGUCCUGACCCUGGCAGAUUGGCGGUCCCUAGGGGUGCGGCACUGGACGGACCGCAAAUUGGUCCGGAGUUGUGCUAAAGGUGAUCUGAGCUGCCCUCAUGAAGUAUGCUUGGGUGAGUGCUAGGAAUACCCCUCCAGCUGGAUAGGAAUCGAUUCGAAUCGCCGUCUCUCCCGGAUAGUGAGAACUUGACUCGGGCAGUGUCAACGUAGAACUUACUAAAUAAACUUGAUGGUUAUGAUGAGAAUGAUGAUAGCUAAGUGAUAAUCCGGAUAUGGUUAUUAUUGUGAUGCUUAAAUACUCAAGUGUAUGCUUAGAACAGGUGCUAAUCUAGUGGAUAGUUGUUAAAGUAAUGAACCUGCUGCUGAAAUAUUAUAAAUGGGUUACUUACAACUAAAGCUUUUUAUGCAAAAGGGUGAGUCAAACCAGCCCACAAAGAUCAGCCUUGCAUACUCCUUGGUGUCACUUUAUUUUUGGUUUAUGACGGGUAAGUCUAGCUGAGUACAUUCUCAUACUCAGGGUUUUAUUUACCCCUAUUGCAGAUGAUGUCGUUUACCUCGGCUACUGUGCUAACUGUCAUCAUCCGGCUGCGGACGAUGAAUAGAUCAUGGGCAUGAUCACCUCCUCUAUCUUCAGUUGUGCUUUUGUUGGGUUUGACAAUGGAGCUGGCAUGUAAUUUAAACUGAGUUUGUGAUGUUUCAAAACUACUUUGUUUCCGCUACUACUCUGGUUUGUAAUAACCUCUUUAAAACUCUAAUGUGAUGUAAAACUAUGUUCUGUGAUGAAUGUAUGUAAUCUAUGAUGGCAAUGCUUGAUCAUGUACGAUCUUGGUUGUAUGUUGGUUGAAUCGUGGUCUUUUGAGAUUUCGUCGGACUACCGGGUUUAUAGUCCAUUGGGUUGACUGCCUCCGUGGUCGCUAAUUCACUUGAAUUCUUAUAAAUUGGACGGUUCUGUUACAUAGCUACCUCAUACUUUUGGUCAGACACACUCAACGCUUUUGUGUUCGGCCAUGGCCCUGCUUCUCCAACACUUGCCGAUGUGCUUAUGCUCACCGGCUUAGAUAUAUCCACUGCCGAUACCACCCACCUAUUGGACACCAAACCCAGUGCUAAGGUGGAAACUCGUUCUAUCGGCGGUUGGUCAGGGUACAUCCAGAAGUACCAAAGGAACAUACCACUUUUCUGAACAUGUGGCUGGAUAAAUUCGUAUUCUGUGGCCGAUCGGCAGGACCAACUUCUGUUUACUUAUCGGCAGCAGAAAGAUUAGCCAAUGGCGGCCGAUUUCCUCUUGGCCGAUACUUGCUUGGUUCGGCUUAUCACCUCCUCCACCAGGUAGCCCAGAAACUUCUGCUUGGUCAACCCAUCGGCAACUUAGGGGGUCCCUGGUGGUUCAUCAAUAUGUGGCUUAGUCUUCACAUGCACAAGCGCCUUGAGUUCGACCUCUUUGCACGGUGCUUCCCUAGGGAUAUAGCCGAGGAUUAUGAACUGAAUGAAGAAAAAUCGGCAACUCAUUCCCCUCUGAACUUUGGCGAAGCUGCCAUAGUUUUGCCUGGCACAGGUGGUAACGCAGACAAGGUUAGCCGAUUCUUCCAAACUUUGUAUGAGGGUCUGACCAGAGAAUAGUGGGCAUGGAUGCCUUAUGAAGAUCCAGACACCAGAUUCCCCCUGACUUUCCACCCCUUCAACGAUGCUCUCAACAAAGAUCGUGAGGUGAUGAUGGCAAUUAUCACUCCAAGAGCUAUACCAGUGAACUUCUUUGGCAGUGGGAAAGCUUCUAAUCUGACUUAUGAGUUCUACAACCCAUCGGCACUAGCUCGCCAACUAGCUUUCGGCCAACUGCCGAUUGCACUCUGCUACGUCGAUGUGAUAAAGCCAAGGGAAACUAUCACUAGCCAUCUCGACUGGAUCAAAGUAGCCCAACUUCCACCAAAUGCCGAUACGGACGUUGAUCUAUCGGCUUGGAUUCCAGCUCUCUUCAUCACUCAGACAUACAAACAGUGGUGGGAAGAAUGGAAAGAACACCUAUUCUGCAGAUCAGCUCUCACGUACCGUGGCAUGAUCGACCCCCACUACAAAGUCCCUGAUAACAAUGUAAGUACUUUAAUACCGAUGCUUCAAUCCCUUCACUGUCUUUUUCCAUCGGUAACUCACUUUCUUUGCCAUAUACAGGUCAAUGACACACCGCCAUUGGUCAGCAGGAGUGGUAAGCCGAUUGAGCUCCUUCCAUCGGGCCCGAUCUCUUUGAUCGGCAACAACGCUCCAACCAUGGUUGCAAUGCAUCGGGGUGUGCGUCUCAAGAAAGUUACCACCAAGCGGGCGAAGAUAUCCCCAUCGGUAGCUGGCUCAACCUUAGCACAAGCCUUCAAGGUAAAUUUUUGAAUUCUUUUAUUCAUACCGAUUUCAUUCUUAUACCUAUCACACUUGUACUCAUAAACUUCUUAUUGUUGUAUCAGCACACCGGUACAUCGGCAAAGACCAGAAGUACGACUGCCGAUGCCCCCCAGUCCAGUCAACCGAAGAGAAAAGGCUCCAAGAGUACUAGAUCACAAGCGAAGCGCCAGAGAACAACAACGCCUUCUCCUCCCCCAGUAUCUUCGAUCCCAGUAGAAUCAUCCCCUUCUCCUCCAGAAGCCCAGACACAACCAGCACCGCCGCCUCCUCAACCACAAGAAGAAACCCAAAUAGAAGAACUCUAGCCAGAAGAACCUCAGCCAGAAGUACCCCAGCCAGAACAAACAUCGGCUGAUGUACGCGAGCAGACUACCGAUCAUGCAAGCUUAAUCAUAGCAUCGGUAGUUUCCUCGAUUCAGACUAGUACUGCACCUCCUCAAGGUAACAUACUCUUUAUUUAUUGCCAAUGAACCCACUUUUUUCAAAUUGUAAUCACCUCUGUUAAUCUUUCAGCUGACAUAGUCUCAUCAGCAAUUCCAGCCGAUCAACCUAUGGUUCCAUCGGCUUCAACAUGUCAGAGGGGAGAGAUAGCUCUAAAGCAAGUAAGUUACCCGAUCCUUAUUUUUAUUGUUAUCAGUACUUGAUCAUAAAAUAACUUAUUCUAUCUUCUUCUCCAGGAACACGAUUCUCCCGACAGCUUGUUCUCCUUCGCCAUCGAGAUCUCUGAGGAUGAAGGCGAGGAAGCAAGUUCUUCUUGAGCAGUUGGAAUCUCAUCGGCAGAGAUUAGAGCAAAGCUGGCGGAUCUGCCAGCCCUUCUCCAUCAAGACACAGUACAAUUGGUCGAUGACUCUGAUCCAGCCAAAGUUCUGUUCAAGGCUCUCAGAGGUCAAAUCCCUACUGAUGUCGAGGAGGUUCUUUUUCAGGUGGCACAUUUAGAGAGUCGUCAGCUGCAGUAUCAAAAGGCUGCCCAGAGUCUUGCCGAUAGAGCUGCUCACGCUCAGCUCUCAGAGGAGAUGAUGAAAGUGAAGCUCCUUGCCGAUGUGAAGCAUAAGAGCAUCGGCAUUCUGAAAUCCUAAGGAGAUGUACUGAAGCAAAAGAUCUCUGAUCUAUCGGCGAGAAGGGAAGCUCUGUUGGCUGAACUCAGACAAGUGGAAGAAGCUCUGUCCCAAGCUCAACAGGAAGAAAGCCAACUGCCUGAAGAAAUCAAGACCCUUGAACAAGAGCGAAACAUCCAAGCUCGUAAAGCACUGCAGAUGAAGAAGAAACUGAAGCUAGUGGAAGGCUCUGCUGAUGAUGACGUGAAGGAGAUAGAAUAAGCCAACCAGAUCCGUCUGCGCGCCAUAUCGAUGAUCCAGGCUCUGUUAAACAAGUGAACUCUUCAUCGGCGGCGUUCUUUGCUCCUUUCUUCUAAUCAUAUUGGUCCAGCCGGUAGGACUGUUAUCGGCAUCCUUUUAAAACAUUAAGUCCAGCCCCCGAUACACUUUUAAUUCAGCCGAUAGGAAUGUUAUCGGCACUUAAACUUUCAUGCAUCAAGCCAUAUGCUGGGGUAAUAUCUCUUUAAAUAUUUGCCAUUCAAAGCUCUGGGAAAUUCAACUCCUUCGAGAGUUUUUAAGAUAUAGGUGUUGCCAGGAGCAGAUCGAUUUAUCCGAUAGGGACCCUCCCAAUUGGGAGACCACUUCCCAAAUUUUGAACUUUUAGUCCCGAUCGGUAAGAUUAGUUUCCAUACUAAGUCUCCAUCGGCAAACUCCUUAGCCUUUACCUUCUUAUCAUACCAUCUGGCAACUCUCUUCUUAUUUUCUUCUAUACUUAUCAAAGCCCUUAGCCGAUGCCCUGCUAAAUCAUCCAACUCGUCUGUCAUCAAAGUAGCAUAAUCAUCGGCAGCCAAUUGAUUUUGAAAAGAUAGUCGCCUAGACCCAGUUUUAAUUUCCCAAGGUAGCACUGUAUCAUGUCCAUACACCAACUGAUAAGGUGAAACUUUGGUCGACCCAUGACAAGCCAUCCCAUAUGACCAUAAAGCUUCAUUCAACAACGUAUGCCACCUCCUAAGAUUUUCUUCAAUCUUCCGUUUAAUAAGUUUGAUAAUUCCUUUGUUAGACGCUUUGGCUUGCCCAUUAGCUUGAGCAUAAUAAGGAGAAGAAUUCAUCACCUUAAUUCCCAUACUGAUUGCGAACUCAUCAAACUCCCCUGAUGUAAACAUAGUACCCUGAUCGGUAGUAAUUGUUUGAGGAAUUCCAAAUCAGUAAAUAAUAUGCUCUUUCACAAAAUCAAUCAUAUUGGCCGAUGUGACUUUCUUCAAAGGAAUAGCUUCAACCCACUUGGUGAAAUAAUCGGUGGCAACCAAGAUGAAUUUAUGUCCUUUGCUUGAUGGCGGGUAAAUUUGGCCAAUUAGAUCGAUAGCCCAUCCCCAGAACGGCAAAGGUUUAAUAAUGGGAUUCAUGGCCGAUGCGGGUGCCCUUUGAACAUUGCCAAACUUCUAACAUCCUUGACACCCCUUGAAAUAUUUAAAGCAAUCUUCAAGUAUGGUUGGCCAAUAAUACCCAUUCCUCCUAAUCAUCCAUUUCAUCUUAAAAGCCGACUGAUGUGCUCCACAUACUCCUUCAUGGAUUUCCCCCAUUAAACUUCUAGCCUCAUCAUUACCUAAGCAUUUGAGAAGAACUCCAUCAAUUGUUCGAUAAUAUAAUUAAUCUUCGAGGAGCACAUACUUGGUGGCUUGAAACCAAACAUGUCUCUCAACUUUCUUGGAUGGAUCCUUUAAAUAAUCAACGAUUUCUUUUCUCCAAUAUUCGGCACUGAUUGCCGAUAUUGUGUUUAACAUGGGUUGAUAUCCCAAGGCAUGCUGAGCCAACCGAUUGGCCUCUUCAUUAUACAAUCGAGAAAUAUGCUCUAAUCGGAAAUCCUUGAAUUCCUUUAAUAGUUGCAUACUCCUUUCGUAAUACGUUAUUAAGACCUCACUUCGGCAUUCAGAACUUCUAGAAAAUUGAUUUAUAACCAACAUAGAAUCUCCGAAGAUUUCAACAGCAUCAGCACGAACCUCUUUUAACAACUCCAACCCCUUAAUUAAGGCUUGAUAUUCAGCUUGAUUAUUUGUCGACGUGGCAACAAUCGGCAAGGAGAAUUCAUACUUCCUUCCCUGAGGGGAAAUUAAGACUAUGCCGAUUCCUGCCCCCCGGUCACACGUGGAUCCAUCAAAGAAGAACAUUCAAGGCACAAUUUCCAAAGUUUCCACUGCACCGCAAUGUUGAGUUACAAAAUCGGCCAUAAUCUAUCCUUUAACCGCCUUAGCCAAUUCGUAACGCAAAUCGAAUUCCGAGAGUGCCAAAAUCCAUUUACCGAUUCUGCCACUCAUGAUCGGCAUAGAUAGCAUAUACCGGACCACAUCAUCUUUGCAAAUAACAGUGCAUUCGGCCAAUAGUAAAUAGUGCCUCAAUUUGAUACAUGAGAAAUAUAAGCAUAAACAUAACUUUUCAAUGGCCGAAUAUCUGGUCUCAGCAUCAACCAAUCUCCUGCUUAAAUAGUAAAUCACACGCUCCUUGCCUUCAAAUUCUUGAAUCAAAGCCGAACCAAUGACCAUCCCAUCGGUAGAUAAAUAUAAUCUGAAGGGCUUUCCUUGCUGAGGUGGAAUUAGAACUGGAGGAUUUACCAAAUAAUUCUUGAUUUCAUCUAAAGCCAACUGUUGCUCUUUCACCCAUACGAACUCUUGAUCGGCUUACAAUUUGAGUAAAGGACUGAAAACACGAAUUUUACCAGACAAGUUAGAUAUAAAUCUCUUGAUAAAAUUUACCUUGCCGAUCAAGGACUGGAGCUCAGUUUUGUUGGUACGAGCAACUAUUUUGUUGAUAGCAUCAAUAGAUCUCCUACUAAUUUCAAUCCCUCUUUGAUGCACCAUGAAACCAAGAAAUUGCCCUACCGAUACACCAAAUGCACACUUAUUAGGGUUUAUCUUUAAACCAAGCUUCCUUGUGCAUUCCAACACUUUUCGCAAAUCGGCAAGAUGUUUUAUGAAAUCCCCAGACUUAACCACCACAUCAUCAAUAUAAAUUUCCACCAGCUUGCCGAUGAACUCAUGAAAGAUAAAAUUCAUACCCCUCUGAUAAGUAGCACCAGCAUUUUUCAAACCAAAGGUCAUGACUAUCCAUUCAAACAACCCAACAUGACCAGGACAUCUAAAUGCAGUCUUUGGAAUAUCUUCCUCAGCCAUGAAUAUUUGAUUGUAUCCUGCAUCGCCAUCCAUAAAGCUGAUGAUCCGAUGCCCAGCCGCAACAUCAACCAAUAGAUCGGCAACUGGCAUUGGGUAACCAUCCAUCGGCGUAGCUUUAUUAAGAUUCCUGAAAUCAAUGCAAACCCGAAGCUUAGCAUUUUUCUUGUAAACUGGAACAACAUUGGAAAUCCACUCGGCAUACCGACACUGCCGAAUAAAUUUAGCUUCGAUAAGUUUGGUUAUUUCAGCCUUAAUAUCAGGAAGAAUAUUAGGAUUACAUCGGUGAGCUGGCUGUUGAUGAGGCCGAAAUCCAGACUUGAUAGGUAACCGAUGAUCAACAAUCAAUUGUUCCAAACCAGGCAUCUCAGUAUAAUCCCAAGCAAAGUGUUUACGGUCCUUAAGUAUCAAAUUUAAUUAUCAAAUAAACAAAGAAAAGGAUCCAAAUGCAACCAACACCUAGAAUUAGGGUUUGAUCUGACAGAAUUCCACGAGUUUUGUUGUUUAUCUGUUUCCGCAGGGGGUUAUUAGGAAAUAAGGAAGAAAGGCCCACAUGUCGGGAUUACAUAGAGAUAUCAACGCACCGCACGAUUUUACAUCAUCUAGAAGACUCCAGAAGCCACGAGACCGAAGCGGAGACGAAACUGGGCCAGGCCCAGGGCGCCCGCCCUGGUAGCCUGGGCGCCCGCCCCCCUGUUGGAGCCAUAUCAGGACUCUUUCGCUCGGGAUGUUCCACCGACCUAUUGGAUCAAGGAAAACAUAGUACCACCUCACCUAUCGACCCAAAAUCGCAUAGAAGGGGAGGACUAUAUAAGCAAGGCCCCCCUGGCCCUGGAGAAGACAAGAAAUUAUCAUAGAGAUUGAGGGGUGCCCUCGAAGGAAAACCUCUUCUCUAAAUAAUAUUUCUUUUUAGGCGUAGCAACCAAUGUAAGGUAGAAAUAGAUCUUCUAGUUUCUACUAGAUUGAGAGAGAUAGAGUGGAGGUGUGGAUCGGAGGAAGGCCGGCAUGUCGGUGUCUACUCCGAGUUGUACCUACGGGAUCAAGUCUACUAACCCGAGGCUUGCUUCUAAGAUUCUUCAGUAAUUCGACUUCUAAUACUAGUAAGUUCUUGUUUUAUUGUUCUUUGGUUUAUGAGUUUACUUUAAUCCUCUUCCGGUUGAGUAUUAGAGUAAUCACUUGUUAGCGUAAACGUGGUGUUUAGGCUAGGGUACUCAUAGAUAUCCCCUGACUAGCUGGACCGUGGUAGUAGCGAGGAACGUGAUAAUUCCGAGUUACCUUUGCAGAUCACAUCUCGUUAGAAGGACGGGUAGGUUUAUAGGUGCGGGUCGAACAUCCUUUGUGUUGUCUAGAUUCCGUGAGCCUCCCCAAUAGAACAGUAGAUCAUCCUUACCAAGGUUAGAACGAGACUAAGGUUGCAGUCUUCUCUAUACAUCACUCACAUCGAGAGACAUGCUUUGUAGCCUAAAGGGAUAGUAGCAAUAGAUUUGGUUAGUCAGAUGCACCCUUUCUCCCAGUGGUAAAAAUAUAAAUACGAUAACUCUGGAUAACCUCCCGGGUGAAAUGCUCACCGAUAUCUGCGUGCUUGCGGAUCAUUUUCUAAUUGCGUUACCAAAUAUCAACAAGAAAACUUUUUGUGCCGAUAGUAUGCUAUAGUAGAUAUGGGAUAUUUUGUUGGACUAACCCCUGCAGGAAAACUUUCAAUAUCGACCUGGGAAGUCCUGAGAUACAAACUCAUUGGAGAUAAAGGAGACACAUGAAGUUUAACAAUUUGCACAAGAAGGACAUAGCUCAUUCAUGAUAAAGAGAUGAUCCAUGGAGGGUGCCACAAACACGAUGCACAUCCGCUAAAAAAGGAAAGCUUCCACAAGGUGAUACUGUACCGUCACUCUUCAAGUAAGGUAACAUUUUAAGGUACUUGACUAUCACUUUUAUAAGCUUCUCCUUGGUUCUAGCGUUCACAUAAAAUAAAGAGACAAACAUGUAUGAAUUGUAGCUCCAAAUUAAUCAACCCAAUUAAUUCAACAUGUUUAGUCCUUUAAUCUUUGUUCUUAGUACUACCUUCGUGAUCCCACACUCCUAAUCAUAUAAGCUAAAGUAUUGCACAUUCAAUCUUUGGAAGAUAUAAACUAAACAUAAAUAUAGAUAGAUUAUCUUUCCAUUAGGUUGAGCUAUCUGAUCUAACAAAUGUUUUAAAUGCUACACUCAUGAUCCAUCAACUUUGUCUUGCUCACUAUGCUUAAGGUUAGAGAAGAACAAAUACACUUUUGGUUCUGUUGGUGUUUUCCACCAACAGGGCCCAUACACUUGAUCUCUGCCUUGUCUCUAUGAACAGGUACACUUGAAGCAAAACAUGAAGGAGUUUUACAACUCCCAGAUUCCACCAAGUGAAGAACCUAGAUCUACAAGCACAAACACACUGAGCAGGAUAUUGCCAACACCGCACUUCGAACUGCUGGGCAAACAAAGAACAUAGGUGACACCGUAUCAAGAGGUGCAGACGUCAAGGUCCACACCUAAUCAAAUGAUGCACCUAAAGGAUGAAGACAGUGAGAAGUCUUGUCCAGAAGAUUUAGAACGUCGGAUCCUUGUUAGAGGAGGUCAAGAUCGUCGACUCAAGUCGCCUUUCCUAAUCAAGAAGGACAACCCUGGUGUUCCAAGCAUCGAAUGCACAAUCAAUGGAUACUCUUUUUAGAAGACACUCUACGACACCGGAUCUGACGUCAACAUAAUGGCCGCAGUCACUUAUCAGCUCUUGCAUGGAACCAUGCCCCUACAACCAAUAUACAUUCAGCUCUAGAAAAUUUUCAGGUCAUUGACAUGGGAGAAGACGAGUAUGAUCCACCCACCAUCCUUGGAAGACCGUUCCUCAACACUAUCAAAGCCAUCAUCUAUAUUGGAACCGGAGAAGUCCACAUGCACUUCCUCUCUGAGAAGGUACGCCACUACUUUAAUGAUUCUAACUAUAUAGUUGAAGAUUCUAAGCAGGUCAGGACAAGAAGAAGGCAACACAACCGCAACCAGAGGAGGCAGAUCAUCAAGGACGGAUGGGUAGACUACAAAGGAGAUAUGAUAAGGUCUGAACACAUACGGCUUGAACAGAACUGUCCUGAGGAGACCGUAGCACCGAGUCAGGUGUGGAGAAAGAAGAUAGUUAUACACGACGAAGAGGCGCCGCCGGAAUCACCGACUAUGCCACCUAGCGAAUCCCAGGACGACUAAGAAAACAGAGAGUCCCGUUCGGAGGACUUAAAAAUACCGAACGCCUUGCCAAGAGGUAAACUUGGUAGUUAUCCUUUUCCAUUCAAUAGUUUGCUUAGUUAAUCAGGUUCAUCUUGAAAAGAAAAUAAAUGUUAAAAAACUGUAAGCCCCAUGUGAGUAGACGAGUGGCAUAAAACCCAUAAGUACAUUCACUGUGGUGGCAUAAAAAUAAAAUAAAUAUUUUUCUGCUUUAUAAAAACAAAAAUAUAAAAACAGGGAGUAAUAUUUAUUAAGGAGUCUCAACAUGAUAAAGGCUAUAUAUUUAUGCUAACACUUAAUCAGUUCCAAAAGCUUUGUUGUUUAUUUGAGCUCCACAGAAUUUAAGAAUCAAGAAGACUAGCAGACGGAGGACAUUCUAAUCGCUGUCAAAAUACUGCUGACUUUCAAACACACCUCUGCCACCUGCUAGCUACAUCAAGAGAAAUUACGUCAAAAUUCAGCUUGGGGGAGAGCACCCCCAUGUAUCUCGAUAAGUAUUUCUAUCUAUCUUUAUACUUAUACUAUAUUAGAAUAUAAAUACACAUAACUAUAAAAAAACCAAAUAAAGAUUUUGUGCUUAUAUAUAUUUUGCUUAGUAUGUUUAAUAAAUAAAUAAAGUGGCUUUGCUAAUCUGUAUCUAAUAAAACUUAAGCAUGGAUAUGAUGAAUAGUUGCUCUGCCUAAUUUGCAAAUUUAAAGUUCUCUCUCAAGUUUAGACAUAACUGUUAUAAUUUAAAGCUUGCUCUAGAUCUAAACUUGUGGGAUGAAAACUUGAUCUGAAGUCUAAGUUGUUAACGGAUACGAUAUGGGAAGGUUGAGCUGCUGUUUAUCUGUUCCUAGAGAUGCUAGAAUUCUAGAGAAUUUUAUCUUUGAAAAUCUUUAAAAUAUUGCAUGAUGAGUUCCUGUAUGAUGAGAGUUUAAAUUCCUACCACAGCCAUAUAUACAUGCUUGCUAGACCUUGAGCCACACAUUUACUAUUUACUGCUUAUGAGCAUUGAGUGUAGUCAAGCUGUGUAGACCCUUAGGAGCUUGUCAUGUGGUUAAAUCAAGAUUCACUUGCACGUUCACUCAUAUAUGCUACUUCUACUCCGGAAGUACCAUCCACAUAUAUCCACUCAUUUCCAUCUCCAGGUUUACCCAAAAUUAUUCUACUCCUAAUCCGGGAGAGAAUAAGCCAAAAAACAUUUUCCUAUCCCUGUUAUUCCCUGUGAAAUAAAUGCUCCAGUUAUUUUGGUUACUACCACUUGCUACAUUAUUUCAGGAGAUGAGUGCUCUAGAAAGAAAAAAAAAGAAAAAAAAAGAAGAAAAAAAAUAAAUAAUAUACGAGGAAAUAAAAAGGGGCAAGUGCCCGGAACCUCGAAGAAAAGAAAAAGAAGAGCAUCUCAUUCUCCUCAUAAAGUUUCAAAAGCAAGGAAGGUAUGUAUCCCCUCAAAGAGCAAAAGUAGAAUUAGACUUCCACCACCAUUGUUAUCACCAUCAUUACCAUACACCAUUCAUUCGCCACACAUGCACAUCUUGAUUUGGCUUAUUGAUUUGUUUCUUUGGAUCCAUGGUUUGACUAUGCAAUAAAUGUCUUGUAAGUAUGUAUACUUUAUCUCCCACCUAUGAGCUCCAGAUAUUAAAGCCUUAUUAGAGUAGGGUGAGAGAGAAGACAAUGUCACUAUGCUUCAUACCACAAAUACUACAUAUCUUGAGAGAAGGCAUAUACCAUCACUGCCUUGGUAAGGAUCCAAAAAUACCACAAAAGAGAGAUCUGAGAGAAUCAUACAAGGAAUCUCUGAGUUUUAAAAUCUGCAAAAACUCUAGAGCUAUAGCUGAUCAAGAAUAAGAGACAUGGCACUUGGCUAGACUGUUCUAUCUUUUAACCACUCAAGACAGAAGUGACAGUUACAAGUCCCAUGGUGAAGGUAAAGUAAGUUUUAAGUCUUGAUAGUUUACUCUAACUCAGAGAUGAGAUUUUAUUUAAAAAGCAUGUGUAACAUCAAUUUUUAAAAAUAUUGCAACAAUUUAUGAUCCAUAGCUAAGUCUAUCCUUGCUCAGGGACGAGCAAGAGGUAAGCUUGGGGGAGUUUGUUGACGGUCCUUAAGUAUCAAAUUUAAUUAUCAAAUAAAUAAAGAAAAGGAUCCAAAUGCAACCAACACCUAGAAUUAGGGUUUGAUCUGACAGAAUUCCACGAGUUUUGUUGUUUAUCUGUUUCCGCAGGGGGUUAUCAGGAAAUAAGGAAGAAAGGCCCACAUGUCGGGAUUACAU
rnacentral:lncRNA from 1 species